rnacentral:lncRNA from 1 species
UAGACUAGAGCAUCGCCCCAGGGCCCCGUCGAGUCACCGAUCCCCGCCGCUGUCUCCACCUGCCAUUCCUCGUGGUUCUGCCUACUGCUUCUUCUGUAGCCUUGUGGCUUCUUCAGUCUUCCUGUUGUCUUCAGUCGAGUUUCCUCUGUACUUUGGGUCGAUCCUGCUGGGUGCGUGCGAUGCCUUGUGAUCCGACGCGAUGAUGUAUUAAUCUCAGUAUAAUCUUUGCUGCAUCUUUUUUUGAGCAUAAGUACAGACACAAGCGCUCAUAUACACGCGCAUACACUCACCCUUAUAAACGCACACACACACCCUACCCCUAUGAGCACCUCCGAGAGACUGAGCCGGCAUAUCAUCUUGAGAUUUACGAAGUCACCGUAGGCGUCUCGUCGUCGACGGGAACGUCUCCUUCCACUGAAAGCGUAUCGCCGGAAAUCCUGAAAUAAAUUCGAAAGAAGUCCACAUCACCCCCUGUGGUUUCAGAAACCGGCUAACCCACCCCCAACUCUGAAACCAGUUAACUAAUCCCCUACCAACCAAGGCACCCCCUAAUCCCAAUUAAAGUGGUAUCUGCCGAUGGUUUUGCUUGCGUGGCUGUACAGGAUGGCCACGUCGGCUUGGUAGGGUGGGUCCGAGACUUAACUGCUCCUCCGAUUUGUUUGGGCAUCGUCUCCCUUAUUUCCUUUCGACGAGACGGCGGCGGGGCAAGACGGGAUGAUCGCCGCUUGAAGGUAGCAGCGCGACGACUCCAGAAGUCCAGGUUAGGCGCUCAUCUCUUUCAUGCCCAGCACACACGUACUUCUCUGUGUUAACUACAGAUUGAAACUUGCACACCUGCAAGGCUGCAACGACCCUUUCUGAAUUUAGAUGUCAGACGCCAACUAUAUAGUCCUCGAUCAGUCCGGUGAUUAGUACUAACGCACCAUAGUUUCACCCGAGUAGUGUUUGCUGAGUUAAUGUGAGAAGUACGUGUGUGCUGGGCAUGAAAGAGAUGAGCGCCUAACCUGGACUCCUGGAGUCGUCGCGCUGCUACCUUCAAGCGGCGAUCAUCCCGCCUUGCCCCGCCGCCGUCUCGUCCAAAGGAAAUAAGGGAGACGAUGCCCAAACAAACCGGAAGAGCAGUUAAGUCUCAGACCCACCCUACCAAGCCGACGUGGCCAUCCUGUACAGCCACGCAAGCAAAACCAUCGGCAGAUACCACUUUAAUUGGGAUUAGGGGGUGCCUUGGCUGGUAUUAGAUAUCUCAGGGGAUUAGUUAACUGGUUUCAGAGUUGGGGGGUGGGUUAGCCGGUUUCUGAAACCACAGGGGGUGAUGUGGACUUCUUUCAAUAAAUUCAGGAAUAAUGCGAGCACCAGGAUUUGAACCCUGAUGGGUUAGGGAUACCACUGUCCACCUAACCAACUCAACCACAGGUUGAGUAAAUCUAUCUAUUCCCAUUACAGUCGAGUUUUUUGAGCAAUAUUAGUUGGAAAUGCACACGGAUGACCCUGAUUGAAAAUUAGACUGAACGUUCUAUGACCACACUAGUAGAUCCAAUACGAACGCUCUCAAAUCAAGUCAGAAGAAAAAUGCAGUUUUCUGCCACACUCAAUACGAACGACUCGGAUUCGAUUGAAAUUAUUAAUGCUUCUGCAGGACAAGAUAUAAGAUUUGGGGUGAAGCUUUUGGCUAUCUAUGUGGAGAGUUCAUCUUGGCUGGGAUGAUAGAUUGAUAGGAUCGGCUGAAUUUAUACACCAUGUCUGUCAAACAACUGAGGUAGCUCAUUCUUCAGCGAAAUUUGCUUAUGACAAUAAUGCUUCUUGUAAUACAGGGUCAAUGAACCCCCUGCAUUCCUGGCGAAUGCCAUUGUAAACGAUGUAACCACAUUACCAAUUCAAUAUAGUGGCUAUGAUGGCAUUUCUUAAAAAAAUACUGUCAAAUAUAUCAGAGUUCAUGUAGAUUGCAGCGGACAAAAUAAAUACUAAUUGAGAUCUCAGUUUCGUCAUUCAUCCAGAGCCAUUGCUCAUGACAGCACCCACAAGAACACAAAGUUACAACAGCCGCCCACAUCUUAGCAGAUCAUAACAUAAACGUGAAAAUUUUGCACAUUCAUAACUGUUACAUCACCAAAGAAAAGAAAAGGUCCACUUCUCCGGAUUCUCUCAAAUUUCGCUCCCGAACCCUUUGGCGGACAAACUCACUUGCUACAGCAUCAAUCACCGUGACAGAUCACACAACAGAUGAGACAUGCUAGGCUGGAGGUAUAUCAUUGGUCCACAGGCUGGCGAACUAGAUGCCGAAUAUCAAGUCCAUCACAUUGGUUACAAUAGAUUUCGCUGGCGCGGCGACACUGCCUGUUGUACGACGCCCUGCGUCUCUGAUAACGUUUGUGGAAGACUUCGGAUCAUACGGGCGCGGCAAGGCUCCCAACUGGUUUGAUGCUCCUGUGUUGCUCUUCAGGACAAGUGAUUUCGAAGGAAGGGAGACCAUGAAGCCUCCUUGGUUGAUUCCAGCGAGCCUAUCAUCCAGCUGCUGCCGGUGCACUGGAUCAAUAUGCUUUACUCCAAUUAUGACGCCACUGCAUAGUUGGAUACCAUUCUUUUGAAGGGCUUUCCUUGCAUCGUAAGAGUGCUGUGAAGACAAUUGUCAGUUUAAGAGGGAAGGGCAGAGGAAUUGAUUGUCGCACCAUAAUGCAGAAACCUAUCAUGUGAUGCACGGGCAUAGUGGAACUGAGAUAAACAUUUGUAAAGAAAAGAGCUAGGUUCCGGACAUCACAAAUCACUUUAAAUAAAUCUUAUCCCAGCAAUCACAGGCCAGAGAAACCUAUAAAAAUCCACAUCAUGCAUGAAUGCACAAAGACAGAUUAUCCAGACUAGAACAUGUGUUGUUGAAAAGCAUACUAAACAGGCCAAAACCAGCUUCACUGUGUGUUUCAUGUUCAAAAGAUAGCCAAAUCAUACACCACAGCAUGUACACACACGCAUGGGGACCCAACUUGAUGUGCACGUUGGUGUAGCUAAGAAAUAGUGACACUUUCACGGAAACUGGAAUAAAGAGAAUGCAACCUUUAGGCUAAAUCCAUCUUAAAAUAGGACGAAAAGGCAUAUCUGAGUGAAGCCAUACAACAUGUGAAUUGAACAAGUAGACAAUCAUUAAUUCCAAGAUCAUAUAAGAUGAUGAAUGGUGCCAUGAAACCGAAACCGUUCAAGUAUAAAGGAGCUUAUACUCAAGUUUAUGUCGAGUCACAGUUCAUUAGGAACAAAGCAAAUUAAUACAACUGUUGGGAAAACAUAAAAACAGGGGCACCGAAAGGUAGAACAGAAACCAGUAGCGACGGUAACUGAAGAUAUCGUUACCUGGUAUAAUAUGUGGAUCCAAUUACCCUCUCUUGGGCCAGAGUGAUGUCUCAAUAUAACACCACAUUUUUCGAACUCUCGGAGAACGAGGUUGGUAUCUCUAAGCGAGAAUCUGUAGAAGGGAAAAAUUAAACAUCAAUAAACCAAUUCAUCCUAUAUAAGGCACGCAACAAAAACGCUAAGUGACGGCUCCUGCUUUCUCGGGCAGGGUGUACAAACUUAACAAAAAUGAAAGUGCACUAGCACUAUAGAGUCCGGUAUAUCCAGUUGCUAGGACAAGCACUAUGAUCGAUUUUGCUGUUGCUCAUGGACAUGGACAGGAGCAAGCACAUGGCAGGGCCAUGAACCUGCCAUGAACCUACGCAAAGCAGCAAAAUUUUCAGCUCCAUGGCUACAUGUCCAGCGGUCACCAAGAUACUACUACUUGCAGAACUGAAUCUACCAUGCGCAUGCCGCAGGCUACAGCUUCCUCAAAAGACAAGUAAAGAAGAGCAUCAUGGUUUCCUCACCCGAAUACAGUGACCCACUCCUCGCCAUCUGCCUUCCCUUCGCUGGCCGGAGCCGCGGGCUCCGUCCUGGCAGCCUCCGUCGCCGGGGUCACGGGCGACGGCGCCUCGGCGGCCACGGACGUGGCCGUCGGGGGAGGAGGAGUGCAGGGGCUGGAGGGCGGGGGCAGCGCGAGCAGCUCCUUGCGGGGCGGCUCGACGACCCCGUCCAUGGGGGAUCCGUGGGCGGAGGCCUUGCCGCGGGAGCGGUCCCAUGAGGGCGAGCGGCUGCCUGCCCCGGCGCGGGGGGAGGGGGAGGAGGCGACGGGGAGGAGGUCGGAGGCGGUGGGNNNNNNNNNNNNNNNNNNNNNNNNNNNNNNNNNNNNNNNNNNNNNNNNNNNNNNNNNNNNNNNNNNNNNNNNNNNNNNNNNNNNNNNNNNNNNNNNNNNNNNNNNNNNNNNNNNNNNNNNNNNNNNNNNNNNNNNNNNNNNNNNNNNNNNNNNNNNNNNNNNNNNNNNNNNNNNNNNNNNNNNNNNNNNNNNNNNNNNNNNNNNNNNNNNNNNNNNNNNNNNNNNNNNNNNNNNNNNNNNNNNNNNNNNNNNNNNNNNNNNNNNNNNNNNNNNNNNNNNNNNNNNNNNNNNNNNNNNNNNNNNNNNNNNNNNNNNNNNNNNNNNNNNNNNNNNNNNNNNNNNNNNNNNNNNNNNNNNNNNNNNNNNNNNNNNNNNNNNNNNNNNNNNNNNNNNNNNNNNNNNNNNNNNNNNNNNNNNNCCGCGGGGGAGGCGAAGCGGGAGCCGCCGCCGCGGUGGGACGGGAUGGGGGAGGCGAGGUCGCGGAAGAAGGGCGACUGGCGCGCCGCGCGGCCGCCCCGGCGCGCGGCGGCGGGGGUCCGGGAGGAGGAGGGGGACGGGGAGGAGGCCAUGUGGGCGCGGCGCGGGCGGCGCGGGGGUUGAGGGUUUGGAGCUGGACUCGGACGGCCGGGCGGGCGGGCUGGGUGGGUGUCCGUUGCCGAGCGGGUCGAUCGGGUGGAUGCCUGCCCGCCCGUGGUGGCGGUAUGCUUUUAUUGGGCCGCGCCCGUCCCGUUGCUUGCGAGGCUGGCAAAGGGCGAGGUCCGGCCCGAACCCAUCCGAGUUAAUUUCGAGAUCCUGCCAGAAUACUUCAUGCUCACGAUUUUUUUUUCCUUUUUAGCUUCAUGCUCACGACUUCUCUCGAAAAAAGGAAGAAAAAGAAAACUAGAUGUUCACGAGGAAGGAAAGGAGAAGAUCAAAGUUUACAUACACAUUUGGGGCGGAGAAUGCAACACAAAACGGUCCAGGAAUCCUGCCGUGUAGCGGAGAUGCCACGAGUGCUUGAGAAGACAGGGCUACCAUAUUACCAUGGAAGAGGAUAAACACAUGUUUGAGGUUUCCUCUUGGGCGCACACACACACACGCACACGGUGCAAGCGAUCCAUUACUUUUACUUGGGGGGAGAAGAUAACCUACAGUUUGGGAUUACAAAUGCUUGUCCCGUGUCGCGGAAAGGGAACCAAAAAAACAAAAGCAAAGCUGUGUUGCACUAUCAUCAUCAUCAUCAUCAUCAUCAAGAGGUAACCGAAAAAGUAUUCGCGGGCGGUGGCAUUUCAAACCAAGCACUAGAGUCUGCAGAGCUGGGUCAGAAGAAUCAAGCGAUGCAUGAGGUGUGGGUACAGCAAAUGGAUUCUGGCCUUCAACUGCGAGCCAACAAACAUAGUCUUCCAGGAUGGGACUACAGUGGAUGUUCUGCAGUCAGAUGAAGAGAAAAAACCAAAGUUAGCAGACUAGUUAUCAGAAGCAAUACCAAAGAUGCAACUCGCAUCGCCAGCACUCUGGCUGCUGCCUGGUCCUGUAGGGACUCUAAAACUUGGUGAAUAUUCAUGAAUCACGAGCCUUCAGAAUUCAUAAUAUAAAAGGUCCUAAAUGUUUGCAAGGGGAAAAGCAUCAGGAAGAAGUGAGGAAUAGACUAACCAUGCCCGAGAUGCGGCUUACAGUAGGCGCAAUUUCCCGGUAACUGAAUCUAUGUCUGCUUUCCUCCCUGCACCACAACAAUAUCAUGCUAUAUUAUGCUCUGCCAUUCUGCCAAAUACUCCCUCCGUUCCUAAAUAUUUGUCUUUCUAGAGGUUUCAAAUGGUGACUACAUACGGAGCAAAAUGAGUGAAUCUACACUUUAAAAUAUGUCUAUAUACAUCCGUAUGUGGUGACCAUUUGAAAUCUCUAGAAAGACAAAUAUUUAGGAACAGAGGGAGUAGAAAAGUAUUACCAGGCUUCACGGGAUAUCAGUUUGGUAACUACUAUCACUCUGUCAGUAGCACAUACUCUAUAAAGAACCAGAGGACCAUACUCUUGUAACAGAAUUAGCACAAGGUGAAAAAAAUUGGACUCAUGAAAAAGAUCUGAGUAGCUAAGAGAAUAAAACAGCAUGCUUCUGAUUGAGAAACUAACCUGGCCCUACUGCAAGAACUGUCUUAGACCCAGCCACUACCUACGAAAAGAAUGAGAAUUGGUAAAGAUCACUUGAUCAGGGUAAAUGAGAUUAGAAUCAAGAAUGAUAGUUGGUAAUGAUCGGGGUGAAUGGGAUCACAAUCAUUUGGUAUAUACAUAGAAAACUGCCAUUUUUUUCAAACUUUAGUUAAGCAAUAACUGCUACUCCAUCUCAAUUAUUUAUUUGUUACUUUAAUACUUAUGCUGUAGCAUCUCUCGUCUCAACUAUUUCUUUGUUUGGCGUUGCUACAGCAUAAGUGUUAAAAGGAAUCAAAUCUAUGAAUUUAAAUCGUUGGCUAUAACAUAAGCAUCAAUAUGAACACCCUGAAGGAUAAGUCUGGCUCAAAAUUGGUCAACACGGUGCAUUAUGCCAGUAAGACAUUUGCCCUAAUCACAAUUAUUCAAUAGUUAUUGAGAUUCAGACAUUCAGUAUCACUUUGAUACGCUGAAUGGUCAGAAGGACGUUUUGCAAUUGAAUUGGUGUCAGAGGGCUGUUUUUACAGGCAGUAGAUAAGCAACUUGUCCUCCCAAAGAAACCCAGCACAUAUGAAAUAUAUUUGUAGGCAAAAACAUAAAACAAACCUGUGUGCGGCCUGCAUCUGCAACAACAAAAGUUGGGAUACCUCGGUGUUCUGCAGUUUCCUUUAUCCUGUUCCUGAUGACACACAAGCAGAAAAAGAAAGUGCUACAUCAUAAUCCAGAAAAUAUUGUUCAAAGAAAUAUAUGCCCUGGAAGAGAUAUGGCAUACAUUUCCUGUUGAUUCUUGCAUGUCAGAACAAUCUUAGCUUGUCCGAACUGUUCCCAUUGUUUCAAAAGAACCCGGUUGCUGCAAAGGGAUAUAUCAGAUGAAUGAUCAAUGAUUCUGGACAAACAGCUCCUUGACACUGACACCUCUAAUCUUGCUAGAGCUUUAGGAGUCUAGUGCAAUUUGAACUUCAUGGACACUAUGAUCGUUCUUUGCUUUCACAAGAAAGUACUCAGUGGUCUAAACACUCUUAUAUUUCUUUAGGGAGGGAGUAUAUGACAUAGUCCUGAUAAAGAAGAGCACUAAUUAAAGGCCAUUCUAUUGUGAUUAAUCAAUCACUCCUCUUUUCAGUCCACUUACACAUCCUUUACUUAAGAAAAACUUUAACUUGUCUCUACUGCAUCACUUGUUCUUAAAAAAGGCCCGCUUUCACUGAAAACAUAACCAACAACAGAAGUGAGACUUUCUUUAAAGAUUAUGGUCUGGGGACUCGUCUGAUGGAUGAUAGAAUACUUAGGCUAGCAUUUAUAGCUCAAACUUAAAUAUAAUAGCCACCCAUGCAACAUACUUCGGUUUACGAGCCUUUGAUGCUAAAUCAAGUGUGACACUGAACCCCGUGCAAAAACACAGACAACAAACUCGCAUAGUACUAAUAUAAUGAAUAAAUUUCAACUUCAUUCAAUAUGUACCAGAAUUUCUAAUAACGUCAAACCAACCCUACUUGUCCCUAGGCAGGCUAAAAGUCUGGAAAUAUCUACAUCCUUUAAUUAGAACUACCUAAUGAAGCAAGAUGGCAAACUGCAUUAGCACCUUGCCAACAGAUCGGCGUACAAGCCAGUUGCUGCAUCUGCAAAAUAAAUUGCAAUGAAUUAAAAGCAUAACCGAUGUACAUUGGCUACAAAUUGUACUGAGUAGUGAGUACACCAAAAAAUAACACAGCUACCUACAGAAUUCUUUAUUUACUUUAGUACACAGAUGUCAAGAGAGGUCGGCGUAGACUGAAUUUGACAUGGGAGGAGUCCGUAAAGAGAGAUCUGAACGAUUGGAGUAUCACCAAAGAACUAGCUAUGGACAGGGGUGCGUGGAAGCUUGCUAUCCAUGUGCCCGAACCAUGAGUUGGUCGUGAGAUCUUAUGGGUUUCACCUCUAGCCUACCCCAACUUGUUUGGGACUAAAGGCUUUGUUGUUGUUGUUGUACACAGACGGCUUAAACUAGAGUUGUUCUGGCUAGAAGUUGGUUGUUGCAGAAUUGGACAAGCAAUCAGUUUUAUUUGAGCAAAGUACUACAGUCUUCUGGUUGGGAUAAGUCAAACAGAACAGAUGUACCAAGAUACAAAUGCUCACACUAAGAGCCCGGGAAAUGGAACUUACGGGCACAUUGAGACGCUAUUUUCCCAGCCCCCAUCUUAAGAUCCUGACGCACUACUAAAACCUGCAAACAGCAGUGUCGAAACUCAGUGCAAGUUCAGACAUAAAAUCAUGGUAUUCCAACAGAAAACCAAGAGUAUUUGUAAACACAGCCUAAGUGAUCAGUAUUACCCACUCCUGUAAAUAUGUUAAUCGGCCAUAAAGUCAUGUUUACAUCAUCACCAUUCAUCAUCAUCCUUACAUGUAAGACCAUCUGAAUUUUUUGGUAGAACCUAUAUCCUGUACUAGUCAUUCACUGACUCUAACUUGACAAAUUUAAAUGCGCGAGUACUACUCCCCCACAAACAACUCCCAGUUCUGCCUGAGGCAAAGCUCAGCCGAGAGCCAAGGCAGAGCAAAUGGUGUGACAUGGAGCAUGACAAUUAUGUUUCAACAUGAUGAGAUAAUCUAGUUUGUUGAUCAGUAGCAAUGGGCAGGUGCUUAGCUAGUACUGUAUGUCCUCACCUACGAAUUCAUGUAGAAAAAUAACAAAACACGUGACAGCUGAGUGCUAGGUCGUAACCCUUGGAGUCAAUCAAUCAGAUACGGAAUUGUGGACUGUACACGGUCGUUUCAGAUCAACGGGUGGGAUAAAAUCAUGUGGAUGUCGCACUGUCAGUAUAGCAAGGCGAGGUUCAUCUUACCAUCUUGAGCUCUUCGCCUGGGGCUGGGGCGGCGGAGGAACCGGCGGCCGCCCGCUUGGAGCCCCGUGGCGCCGGGGCAGACGGGAGGCUAAACCUCGGCCUCCAGGAGGAGGAGAGGUCGAGGAGGAGGCCGAGGAGGAACCCGAUGGCCAGGCCCGGGAGGAAGUUGGCCGGGCGGACGCCCGCCGCGAGCCACGGCUCCUCGUCCUGCCAAGGGGGAAACAGAAAAGAGGGUUAGGGUUCAGGAGCGGAGUCGCGGGGGCUGGUGGCAGCAUCAGCGGGGGCGGACGCCGCAGUCCGGUGGGUGCGUGGCGCUCACCUUCCUCUUGCCGCCGUGGUUGGGGUUUCGCCGCGGCGGAGCAGCCAUGGAUUGGACUUGGAGGAGGCAGAGCGGAGAGGCAGUGCUGUGUUGAACUGAACUGUUUUUUUAGGGGGGGUUGAUAACGUCGUCGUGUUACUCGAUACGUGGGCCAGCAGUUUACUAUUGUGUAAUGGGCCGGCCCAUCCCACACGCCGUGGGCGAGCGCCCGGUCCGUCCGCCUCCGCCUCGCAGGAGGCGAGACAUAAACGUGCCCGAUUACUCCCUCGUCUCUCUCUAUCCGUCGCAGACUCGCAGCCGGAAAAUUGCCCCGAUCUUUAUUUCACGCUCCUCGGCGGCGAAGCUCCUGUCGCCAGAGACACGGACGAACACGUCGCGCAGAGAAAGGCCAAGCCCCACGCCGGCUUGUGCUUCGCCCCCAUGAACGCCGAUCGAACAGACGAGGAGAAGAUGGAGGCCCUCUCCCUCGCCGUUCGGAGCGGGACAAAGGCCGGCAUGGAGGUCGAGCAGAUCCUCUCCCUCGCCACAAACUAUGUGAACAACAACGCCGAUUUGGCCUGCCACGUCCUCGUGCAGAGCGGGAUACCAGCCGACGCUGUCCUCUCGGCGGCCAUGAAAACGGGGCUAAUGGCCAGAGAGAAGGUGUACGCUACCCUGCUGGAGCAGCUACUCGCCUCCUUCGCUAAUCCAUUGGAGGACACCCAGCUGAGGGAGUGGGAGUGCCCCCCCAAACCCCACUAUUCUCUCACCGAGAAGAGGAGCGGUCCAAGACAGGACCCCAAAUGCCCCUUCUUUCUCAUCAAUGCGAAGGUAUCGGCCAAGACGGCGCGGAUAUCGUGGUCGAUGAAGAAGUAUCCCCGCUUCCCCCGGGAGCGAGCGAUGCACGAUGCUUUACGUGUCGCACGCCUGGGCACAGGAACUCAGGGAUUUCAUGUAGAGCAGGCAGGGGAAGGCGGGCAGCCAGGUGCCCUCUCCUACUUCAUCGAUGCCACAUAUAGCGGGUGGCCGCGCCCCAAGGAGGGCAUCUUCGAGGAAGGCUCCUCCGUGCCCCUCAGGGAGGUCGCCGUCAUCAAGAGGUUGCCCAGCGGUGAUGGGAUUUCUGUCAUGUCCUAUGCUCAUGGGCUUGGUGUUAAGCUUGACGAUAUCCUCUUCGUGCUGCACGUCCCGUCUGCCGCCAUGCCCCUGAGAUUUACCGAGCAGUCAUUUUAUGUCUCUGAAAACUUCGAGGAGAUUCCACUGUACGCCCCGGCUGGUCUUGAUUUCAUAGACAUCAAUGUCCCCGUCAAGAAUCUGAUCAUGAAACUUUACCAGCUGUAUUUACAAGAGGAGCAAGAGAAAAAUAGUAAGCGUGAGAAACAUGAUCAUCGGGGGAGUGAAGAGCUGGUGUGCCAGCAAGAGGAGGAGCUCAUGCUCCAAAGACAUGAGCAAGAGGGGGAGAAGCUGGAGCGCCUGCGGAGGAGAAGGGAGGAGAGCAAGAAACAUAGAGAUCUACGCAAGGAAAUGAAGGAAGCGGUUCAUCGGAUCAAGGAUACAGCAAGGACUUCAGAAGAAGAAGAAGAGCAGCAUGAUGAGGAGUAUGACCCAAUGCUUUUGCCGUUCUCCUGUUUCAGGAAGAAUGUGGUUUGGUGAAACCAUUCAAAAGAGCUGUGCCAAAGUGAGAAGAGGCACGACAGAUAGCUUGUAUAGCUCUUAAGUUGCAGGCUUCGCAUGAUUGAUGAUUUAGUUAUGUAAAUUAUGGCUUGUAUUGUACUGCAUUGGAUUAUUGGAUGCAUUGGGGAAACUACAUGCUGAUUUACAUUUUUUUUGUGAGAGACUUCCAAUCUAUUCAUCUUCAAUCAUGACAGUACAAAGAAUAAUAGAGGUAAUAAAAAUUACAACCAUGUCCAUGGACCAUCUAGCGACGUCUACAAGCACUGGAGCGAGCCGAAGGCGCCGCCGUCAUCGUCUCUCCCUCAUCAGAGUCGGGCAAACCUUGUUGUAGUAGACAGUCAGGAGGUCGUCGUGCUAAGGCUUCAUAGAACCAGCGCACCAGAGUAUCAACCAUCGCCGAUGAAGAAAGUCAUAGAUCAGAAGAACCAAACCUAUAAACGCCUAAACGAAGACGAACGAAGAACGGAUCCAAAUAGAUCCACCGAAGACCAACACCGACCGAAUCCCGCAAGAUCCGACGGAGACAAACCUUCACAUGCCCUCCGACGAUGCUAGACGCAUCAUCGGGAUGGGGAUAGAACAUGGGAGACAUUAUUCCAACUAAGGGACGUCGCCGCCGCCACACAGCCCCAACCAAGGCGCUGACUCUAAGAGCAUCUCCAGCCGCGCCCCCAACAAGGCCCCCCAGGCGACUUUUCGGCCGCCGGCGUCGAAAAAUCGGCCCAGUCGCGCCCCCAAGGGCCCAUUUUUCACCGGCUCGGGCCGAAAUUGGCGCCGGCGUACCCAACCCGAACCCGACGCGCUGGGGGACGCUCGGGGGCGCCGUGCGAAUCAUUUUUGGCGCGAAAGAGCCGCGGGCCCUCCUUGCCAGCAACUCGUCUCUCUUCCCGCCGCUCCGUCAUCCUCAUCGCCUCGUUUCCCGUGGCGAAUCAAUGCCAAAGCUGCCGCGCGCUGCCGCGUCGGCCAACCUUCUCCAUUGAUGCCUCAACGGCGGCGCAGUGAAGACCGGACGACGCGCGUCCCCUCGCCCGCCACGCGCACGCGGCGGCCACGCGUACGCGCGGCGCCUCCGCCUAUAUAAGCCGACCCCCAGCGCGCCGGUGGCACGCACAGACUCCACCGCCGACGCGCCAUUUCUCCCCCUUCCUCCCUCUCCUCUCGCCGUCUCCAGUUCAAAGCAUGACCGAGCGCUUCCCAGGCGACGAUGCGGCGGCGAACGGCUUCGGCCGCCGCCACCUUCACGAGGACGAAGCUCGGCUCCACUUUGAGGCCGAGUACCCGGUCCCGCCGGACAUGCGGGUGCCCGGGACGUGGAGAAUCAGCGUCGGCGGGGUCCCGGUGCCACCACCGCCCACCGGGGCGGCCUGGGUGCGGAGAUCGCGUGUAUCCGUGCCUCCCUGCCGCGGGCGGCGAGGGAGGGGCCACGCUAUGCCCCAACAGCCCGCUUUGGGAGCCAUACUUCCGCCGCCGCCACGCCGAGCAGCUCGAGGCCUCCAACGGCGUCAUGCCCUCCGGAAGGCUCAACUCUGAGGGGCGGCACCGAUGGUGGGGCGUGCCCGGCCGCACACUGGAGGCCGUCUUCGAGUACAUCGAGGGCGGCAACACGCCGAGGCUGGAGUACCCCGCUCCCCCAUCCUUCUCUCGCCGACGUGGGAGCUCGUGGAGGCCGAGGCGCAUGGACCUCCCCCCGGAGUACGAGGAGAUAACCCGGCGCGGCUUCUCCGACGAGGACACCCUACAGUGGGCGCGCGACGACUACCUCUGCGACGAGAUGGUCCGGCAGCGCCGGGCCCUGGAGUAGAUAGCCGCCCGCAAACGUGGGCGCGAGGACGAGCACGGCGUCGUGAUCCUCGACAGCGACGACGACGAGGACGCCCCUGGACCAUCCAACCUGCCGCGCCAACCGGGGGAGGGUUGCAGCAGGGACGGCGGCCGCGGCGGAGGUGACGACGACGGCGGCGGCGAUUACACGCGGUUCUACAGCCUCCUCGGCAAGUAGAACUGUAAGGGCGGCGGGCGGCGAGGAGCGGCGAGGGAGACGGCGAGGAGCAGACUAGUAGCGUUUUUUUUCCUUUUUGUAAAAUAUUUUAAAUAUGAACGAACUCGCCGAAGUUUGGUUGAAUUUGUGUCGUGUUUGUGCCGGAACUUACACUUUCAAAAAAACGUGGGCGCCGCGACUGGGGGGCAUCACGCCCCAGCACGCGGUUAGCGCCGGUGCGCUCCCAGGGGGCGAUUUAUAGCGCCUUCUGGGGGCCCAACGGCUGGAGAUGCUCUAACAAGAACGAGAACGGGUCCCUCCCGCCAGUGGGGGGGGGGGGCGAGAUCCUCCGCACCUCCCUGGCCUAGAUGCCAUCAGAGAUGGGAUGGACCGGCGGCGGCGGCAACGGGAGGACAAGUGUUUUUCUUGUGGAAGAGGAAAGAGAUCUCUAAGAAUACGUGUCCACUGAUUUACAUAUUAGAUAGUAAAAACUAUCUGGAUUGCACCCAAAUUAGAAAUUAUCGUAUUUACUAUAGAGAAACGUCUAACAGCUCCCGGGUGCCCCCACACCCUCAUGAACAAUAAAUUCAUAUAAAAUUGAAAACAAUCAAAAAAAUCUGAAACUUUUAGGGAUCAAAGGUUAUCAAAGGUUUAAUGUUCCUGCAAAGUUUCAGCAACAAAUAACCUUCGUGGAGCCCUCACAAAAAAAAUCACUGCUAAAAAAUGUACAUAAACUUUGAAACAUGAUUUUGUUUUUUUAUUUGAGUACUCUUCGAAUGUUAUUUUUAGCUAAGACUUUGCAAGAUCAUCAAAAGUUUCAUGAUAUUCGAUGUCCCAAAGUUUCAGAUUUUUUUGAUUUUUUUUAAUUUGUUUUGAAUUUACUGUUCAUAGAGGGUGUAGGGCACCCGGGUGCUGAAAAUCCUAUCUCUUAUUAUACAUUUAUUAUAAUGUUAGGCUCUGUUUGGAGCUUUUAAUGAAAAAAAAAACCACAACUUUUGAAGUUACUAAGACUACUUUCUUUCUGUAAAAACUUGCAAAACCAUGGAGUGUUUUACACCGGCAGUAUUUAGCAGAUAACUUAGAGACAUGCUAUUAAUGUUGAUUACAUUUUAAAAAGGAACGGUAUGCAUGUUGAACACCCAAGUCAAAGUGUGUUGUUUGCUCAUCUUCUUAUGCAUCUUAAUACUUUGCACAGAUAGUUCGCUUAUUGAUAUGUAUCUAUACAUCUGUAAGAUGUUUUCUUUUUGUAGUACAAGCACCUCCCUUCUUCCUGCUGGUAAAUCCCUUGUUUGCUCCUACCACUAAAAUUACAAUUUGUUGGCAUGUUUCACAAUCGUUUAGGAGUGCUAAACAUCUCUUGUCCAAGACCGCUGGUGCAAGCAUGGCAGACCAAUGCUUCAGUCGUGUCCAGCCCAGAUCAACCAGACGUAGAUGGAAUUGACGAGGAGGGCGAUUUUUAAAUACUCCAAAAAGAACCACAAAAUUUAGAAUACCAUGGCUUGCACAGUGAAAAUGUGCCUUAAGCUGGUAUUUCUUGUAAGCAAAUACCUCAAAUUAUUUUAAACUAUGUCUUUUCAGGAAUCAUAAUAUGUUAGAAAACUUCAAAAAUACUUUGCAUCCUAGCAAGAAUGUAGUUGCUUAUUGUGAGCUUGUGAUCUGUGCCUUUUUGACUGUUUCUUGGCUGAUUUUUUUUCAGUUUGGAGUCCGUAGUAAUUAUGAGUUACAUUUAAAUCCUGGGUUGUAAGUAAUUUAAAUAUGCUUGAUGCUGUGUGUUGAAAUAUAUUGCCCACCUCCCUCCAUCAGUUCGAACUUUUGAAUGAGUUGGCUGGAGCAUGAAUUCAAUAUGGUUUUCGAGCUAAGAGGUCUUGAGUUCAAGACCCUGCAAACGCAGUAUUAAAUAAAACGAUUCUGCGGCCUACAUCGAUCCCACGUCUAAGGACUAAAAUAGCCUAGACGUGAUGGGGAGUGUUGAAAUAUAUUGCUCACCUUUCUCCAUCAGUUUGAAUUUUUGGAUGGAUUGGUUGAAGCAUGAAUUCAAUACCAUGGGCAGAUAUGAUCUGCUGAACCUCGCUGGAGGUGGAAGUGAGGCAAGGGGGGCGAGGGAACCAUCCCCGGCCUCGGUGUAUUUGAUCAUAAAGGUGCAUUGUUAAUCUCACUCUUAACUUAUUUGAUAUUUAGUUCAUCCUUACAUAAGUUUAAUAACUUACUAUUUGGGUAGCUGGGGCUUAUCCACUGCCCUAUCUAUUGUUUUUUCACUUGAGAAUGAAUUUAUAUUUGGUAGAUGCAAUGUUAAAGAUGUUUGUUUGCAAUCAGUGAAUCCCAUGCUAAACAUUAGAAAUUACACCAAGUUGACAUUAAAAAUAUAUAUACUGUAAGAGUUGAAACUGUAGUGCUCCAUGUGUUUAGCCCCUUGCUUUGAAUCAAACGUCAUGCAUCAAAUCACCUCAUUUUUUCAAUAAAGGGCGACUUUAUUAUCUCAAAAUGUAGCAUCAAGCGGAUAGAAAGCAUUAUAAGUAACACCCGGCCUCUGCAUGACUAAGAUACACAUAGCCAAAUCCAGAAGUCUGACAAAAAUACAUGAAAUAAAAAUCGACAAAUCGGCAACAGUAGAGUCCUUUAGACCAACACUAUGCCUAUGUCGAACGGGAUGGUGUAUCGAUCUGUAGGUUAUGCUGCCACCCAUGUUGGGAAAAAACCUCCAUAGCCACCUGCUCCAAUAGCGUACACACCACCAUGAACAGCGGUUGGUACUUCGGCCGUUGUAGUAUAGCCCACGUACGUAGCGAGUGCGUACACCAGAAAAUAACCUAUAGAGAAGAAGCAUUUUUUUCAUUAAAAACCAAAUCAUUUCUAGAUAGACAGAGCGACCAAAUUAAGGCAUACACUCCCACCCUAAUUAGCGUUUUGAACCUAUUUGUAAUGGGUCUGUCUAGGACACAUUUAGAUGUGACAUAAUUAUGUCACAUCUAACCUAAUAUCCAUAAUUCUGUGGUCUAUUUUUUUUGUUCCAGUUUUUUUUCCUUGUUGUUGUGUUAUUUGUGGAAUCUUAUAUGUGACAUCCUUAGAAAACAUCUAGAUGUAAAUUAGUCAAACUGAUUUGUAAUACCGUCCAACCAAUGACCAAAAAUAUUAGCUGAGUGAUAAGUUGUAACUCUUCAGGAGUCAAUCAAUCAGAUAAUGAAUUGUGUACUGUACAAAAUCGUCUCGGAUUAGCGGAUGAGAUAAAAUCAUGUCACACCGACAGCAUAACACAACGCGAUUCGGCUUACCAUCUUGAGCUCUUUGUCUGGUGCUGGGGCGGCGAACGAACCGACGGCCGCCCGCUUGGAGCCCGGUGGCGCCGGGGCGGACGGGCCCGGCGGGAGGCUAAACCUCGGCCUCCAGGAGGAGGAGAGGUCGAGGAGGAGGCUUGGGAGGAACCCGAUGGCGAGGCCCGGGAGGAAGUUGGCCGGACGCAGCCCCCCCGCGAGCCACGGCUCCUCGUCCUGCGAAGGGGGCGAAGGAGAGAGGGUUAGGGUUCAUGAGUGGAGCCGCGGGGACUGGUGGCAGUGGCAGCGGGGGCGGAGGCCGGAGUCCGGUGAGUGCGUGGUUCUCACCUUCCUCCUGCCGCCGUGGUUGGGGUUUCGCUGCGGCGGAGCAGCGAUGGAUUGGGAGCAGAGGGGAGAGGCAGUGUUGUGUUGAACUGAACUUUUUUUUCGAAAUUAGUAUUUUCGAAAUGUUUGGAUUUUGUGAUUAGAUCCGAACGAACUGGAUCCCAUUCCAAUCGAUCGCUCGUUCGACCGGCGAAGCCGCACCGACGCACAACACCCACUAAACCAACUCAGCAAUGUCACGUUAUUUAUUUGACAGCUCUAAUUCUUCCUUUAAUAGUAUACAACAUUUCUUUUUCUUUUCCCAACCGGCACCUGAUUGUCCCCUUCAAUUACAUGCACGGUAUUUUUUUUUCUCACUAAACUAUUCACUGAGUGCACGGUAUUUUCAAUGGCUGCUAGGAAUCAAUGACAUGCACGAUUUUGUUGCUAUUUUUGUAACUGAGACUUUAUAUCCACAUGAACUUUGACCUAAAGUUGUUGGAAAAUACUGCGGUAAAUUAUGUAUGAAUAACAUGGUAUAUAUGCACCGCCGACCUGAUAGUUUACGUACAAACACCAUAGUAAAAUUUUGACCGGCAUAAAAAAUUGUUGAAAACAUACCCUAUAACGCCCUCGAUGCGGCUAUAUCUCCCACGUGUCGAAGCACGACUUAGAGGCAUAACCGCAUUGAAAGCAAUGUCGCAAGUGAGGUAAUCUUCACACAACCCAUGUAAUACAUAAGGGAACGAGAUACAUAGUUGGCUUACAAUCGUCACUUCACACAAUUACAUGAAUAAAGCAUUACAACAUCCAAAUACAAUCAAGGUUCGACUACGGAACCAAUAUAAAAGAAGAACCCCAAAAGCGACAAAGGUCCCCGAUCGACCCCAACUGGGCUCCACUACUGAUCAACUGGAAACGGAACAACACUACGAACAAAGUCUUCAUCGAGCUCCUCCUUGAGCUUGGUUGCGUCAUCUGCACAGUUCAACGACACCUGCAAGCUGGUUUUGGAAGUAUCUGUGAGUCACGGGGACUCAGUAAUCUCACACCCUCGCGAUCAAGACUAUUUAAGCUUAUGGGUAAGGUAAAGGUAUGAGGUGGAGCUGCAGCAAGUGACUAGCAUAUAUGGUGGUUAACAUAUUCGCAAAAGAGAGCGAGAAGAGAAGGCAAAGCACGGUCGAGAAUCUAAGAUCAAGAAGUGAUCCUAGAACAACCUACAUCAAGCAUAACUCCAACACCGUGUUCACUUCCCGAACUCCGCCGGAAAGAGACCAUCACGGUAACGCACGCUGUUGAUUCAUUUUAAAUUAAGUUAAGGUUCAAGUUAUCUACAACCGGACAUUAACAAAUUCCCAUCUGCCCAUAACCGCGGGCACGGCUUUCGAAAGUUCAAAUCCCUGCAGGGGUGUCCCAACUUAGCCCAUCACAAGCUCUCACGGUCAACAAAGAAAUAGACCUCCUCCCGAGACAUUUCGAUCAGACUCGGUAUCCUGGUACAACAAGACAUUUCGACAGGGUAAAACUAAACCAGCAACACCGCCCGAAUGUGCCGACAAAUCCCGAUAGGAGCUGCACAUAUCUCUUUCUCAGGGCACACUCAGAUGAGCCAGACGUUGGGUAGGCCAGCCUAGAGUUGCCCCUGGUAGCCCCGGACAUCGCUCGGUUGGACCAACACUCAGAGGAGCACUGGCCCGGGGGGGGGGGGGUAAAAUAAAGAUGACCCUCAGGAGCGCGACUCCCAAGGGAAAGAAAAGGCUAGGUGGCGAAUGGUAAAACCAAUGUUGGGCAUUGCUGGAAGAGCUUUACUUAAGGCGAACUGUCAAGGGGUUCCCAUUAUAGCCCAACCGCGUAAGGAACGCAAAAUCCGGGAACAUAACACCGAUAUGAUGGAAACUAGGGCGGCAAGAGUGGAACAAAACACCAGGCAUAAGGCCGAGUCUUCCACCCUUUACCAAGUAUAUAGAUGCAUUAAUUAAAUAAGAUAUAUUGUGAUAUCCCAACAAGUCAACAUGUUCCAACAAGGAACAACAUCUCCACGUUCCAACAAGGAACGAACUCCAAUCUUCACCUGCAACUAACAACGCUAUAAAAGGGGCUGAGCAAAGUGGUAACAUAGCCAAUCAACGGUUUGCUAGGACAAGGUGGGUUAGAGGCUUGGUUGAACAAAGUAGGAGGUAUGAUAAACAAGUGGUAGGUAUCGCAGCAUAGGCAUAGCAAAAGAGCGAGCAUCUAAGCAAGCAAAGAUAGAAGUGAUUUCGAGGGUAUGAUCAUCUUGCCUGAAAUCCACAGGGAAGAAGAACGAGUCCAUGAAGAAGACAAACGGACGUAGACGAACGGUUCCUCACAAACACGACGUUAUCGGAACCCACCCGAAGAAGCAACACCGGAAAGAAGCAAACAACAUAGUAAACAAACAUCACAUAAGCAUGGCAUGAUGCACAACCAAGUAUGAUGCAUGUCCGGUUUAAAUAUGCAUGGCAUGGCAAAGUGCACAAACAACCCUACAAAUUAAGUGGAGCUCAAUAUGCAAUGAGUUGCAUAUUGACGGAACACCACAUCAAUUAUUUAGUUCGAUCUCGUUUAUGUACCCAACAAUGUUAAAUGUUGUUAAACAUGGCAAGAGGGUGAAGCAAAUGAAAACUACCCAUCUAGUCAAGUUUAAAUGAGGCCGGGAACAACAAACAAUAAAUCCGGAAACUCCUCAUGUGCAUAUAUUAGGUUUGGUCCUGUUCUGCCCUAAACCAAAUUUUAGAGUUAUUAAACAUGCAAAGUGAUGCCACCAUGUUAAACUAGGCAAAAUUCUACCCCAUUUACAUAUAAAGUUUAUUAAAAUCCGAGCUACGGUUAUUUAGUUAUGAAUUGAAUCAUUUUAGCAUGGCAUGGGAGCAAAUUUAAACAAACAACAUUUUAAACAUUUUAACAUGGAUGAAAGUUGCAUAUUAUUAAACUAGACAAAAUUCUGAGCAAGUUUCAUAUAUAAAUCAUUUUAAUAUGAUGCAUGGUUAUUAAGUUAUUAUAUGCAUGAACAUGGAGGGUUUUCUGCAAAUCUGUAAUACUCUGGAUAAAUAGAUAAUUCGUCCAACGCAGGGAAAAAAAUGUAUCGGGCCGAAUCUGAGCAAACGGGCCAAUAGGAGCAGGCGCUGGGGGGCAGCUCACCCAUGGGCUAUGGCCCGGUUUGGUGGGGAGGAGGCCGGCCGGGCAGGUGCUGGGCCAGCUGUGCAGUGGACUAGGGAGGCGCUGGGCUACGGUCAACGCGAACGAGCGGGCUCCUUCUGGAUAGAAGCAGAGCCAUGGCAAUGGCGGCGCCUGGCGAACUUGGUGGCGGGGACGGAGGAACGGGGCUCCGAUGAGCCGAGGCGAGGCCGGGAACGGAUCAAGUACCCUGGAUCCAGCAGGGCCAGGCCGGAUCCGAUGAAGACGAAGUCGGCGGUGGAGCUACCUACAGUGCCUGCGAGAGAGAGAGGGAGACUGACCGGGUGAGGGGAAGAGAGGGAAGAAAAGGGAGCACGGGGAACAAGGUGCGGAUGACCUGGGAGGAGGCGAUCGUCCUCAGCGGCACGAGGUUUGACUCCGGCGAGGUUGCAGCUCAGAGGUGGCGACACGGGCGGGGUUCUGCGAGCGGAUCUGGCAGGAGGAGGCGGCGAGGCUCCAGGCGGCAGUGCGAUGCGGUCGUCUCGGGCCCAGAUCGGCACGGGGCGGGCCGCAGAUGGGCCAGGCGGGCCGCGGUGAAGUGGGGCACUGGGGAGGCGAUGUUGAGGCCUGCGAGUGGCUGCGGGAGGCAGGGUAGGCGAUGUGGCAGCGCCCGGUUGGCCAGGGCGAUGCCUCAGGUGGCGGCACGGCCUUUGGCAACGCCCCAAGUGGCGACGGGGAGGUGGCUACGCGCGGAAAUCGAGGAGAAGGUGGCUGGCGGCUGCGGGGAUUCCGAGGGGAAGGCUAGAAGUAGGUGGAGGGGGUUUAGAGUUCCAAAAAUGGAAGGGGAAGGUCUAUAUAUAGACAAGGGGGCUAGGUUAGGGGGAUUUUAGUCCGUUCCGGAGCCGUUCGAUCUUGAUCGGACGACCCGGAGCGGAGGGGGGUUAGAUAGGUGGGCUACUGGGCUGUGAAGAGAGGUUGGGCUGAGAUGAGAGGAGAGGAGUGCAGCCCGGCAACUGUUUCCGGAGACCGAAAACGUUCGACGUUUGCCCGGCUAUAAUGCCGCUAUAGUUAGUCGUUGGGGCGUCAAACGAACUCCGAAUGCGAUGAAACUUGGCAGGCGACCUACUAACAACAUAACAACACCACAUGCCAACUUUCAUCCCAUUCCGAGAACAUUUUCCGGCCACUUAUAAAAUAAUAUUUCGGACAUGCCGCGGGCGCGUGCAAGUGUGUCUGGGCUCAGAACGGACAAUGGACGGAACAAGGAGACCGGGACUGAUGCAAGUUUUGAAAACAUGAUGAUUCAAUGCACAUGAUGACAUGACAAGAUGCAACACGCAAGCGAAUGACAACGCAACGACAGCGAAUAACUGGAUGACACCUGGCACAUCGGUCUCGGGGCGUUGCAUACCCGUGAUAACUUAUUUGUAAAUAGCACGGCAACAUAUAUAUCACUGACCUGAUAACUUAGAUACAAACAUUGUGGUAACCUUUUACCUAGGGAAAAAGUUGAAGGAAAUAUGCCCUAGAGGCAAUAAUAAAGUUAUUAUUUAUUUCCUUAUUUCAUGAUAAAUAUUUAUUAUUCAUGCUAUAAUUGUAUUAACCGGAAACAUAAUACAUGUGUGAAUACAUAGACAAACAGAGUGUCACUAGUAUGCCUCUACUUGACUAGCUCGUUAAUCAAAGAUGGUUAUGUUUCCUAACCAUGGACAAAGAGUUGUUAUUUGAUUAGCGAGGUCACAUCAUUAGUUGAAUGAUCUGAUUGACAUGACCCAUUCCAUUAGCUUAGCACCCGAUCGUUUAGUAUGUUGCUAUUGCUUUCUUCAUGAAUUAUACAUGUUCCUAUGACUAUGAGAUUAUGCAACUCCCGUUUGCCGGAGGAACACUUUGUGUGCUACCAAACGUCACAACGUAACUGGGUGAUUAUAAAGGAGCUCUACAGGUGUCUCCAAUGGUAGAUGUUGGGUUGGUGUAUUUCGAGAUUAGGAUUUGUCACUCCGAUUGUCGGAGAGGUAUCUCUGGGCCCUCUCGGUAAUGCACAUCACAUAAGCCUUGCAAGCAUUGCAGCCAAUGAGUUAGUUGCGAGAUGAUGUAUUACGGAACGAGUAAUGAGACUUGCCGGUAAUGAGAUUGAACUAGGUAUUGGAUACCGACGAUCGAAUCUCAGGCAAGUAACAUACCGAUGACAAAGGGAACAAUGUAUGUUGUUAUGCGGUCUGACCGAUAAAGAUCUUCGUAGAAUAUGUAGGAGCCAAUAUGGGCAUCCAGGUCCCGCUAUUGGUUAUUGACCGGAGAUGUGUCUCAGUCAUGUCUGCAUUAUUCUCGAACCGUAGGGUCCGCACGCUUAACGUUACGAUGACAGUUAUUAUGAGUUUAUGCAUUUUUGAUGUACCGAAGUUAGUUCGGAGUCCCGGAUGUGAUCACGGACAUGACGAGGAGUCUCGAAAUGGUCGAGACAUAAAGAUUGAUAUAUUGGAAGCCUAUGUUUGAAUAUCGGAAGUGUUCCGGGUGAAAUCGGGAUUUUACCGGAGUACCGGGAGGUUACCGGAACCCCCCGGGAGCUAUAUGGGCCUUAGUGGGCUUUAGUGGAAAGGAGAAAGGGGCAGACCAAGGUGGCCGCGCGCCUCCCCCCUCUCUAGUCCUAUUAGGACUAGGAGAGGUGGCCGGCCCCCCUCUCUCUCUUUCCCCCCUCAAGGAAUCCUAUUCCAACUAGGAUUGGGGGGGGGGGAUCCUACUCCCAGAGGGAGUAGGACUCUCCUGGCGCGCCCUCCUUGGCCGGCCAGCCCCUCCCCCUUGUCUCCUUUAUAUACGGAGGCAGGGGGCACCUCUAGACACACAAGUUGAUCAUUGAGAUCGUUCCUUAGCCGUGUGCGGUGCCCCCUGCCACCAUAUUCCACCUCGAUCAUAUCGUUGUAGUGCUUAGGCGAAGCCCUGCGUCGGUAGAACAUCAAGAUCGUCACCACACCGUCGUGCUGACGGAACUCUUCCCCGACGCUUUGCUGGAUCGGAGCCCGGGGAUCGUCAUCGAGUUGUACGUGUGCUAAGAACUCGGAGGUGCCGGAGUAACGGUGCUUGGAUCGGUCGGAUCGGGAAGAAGACGUACGACUACUUCCUCUACGUUGUGUCAACGCUUCCGUUGCGAUCUACAAGGGUACGUAGAUCAUACUCUUCCCUAUCCUUGCUAUGCAUCACCAUGAUCUUGCGUGUGCGUAGGAAAUUUUUUGAAAUUACUGCGUUCCCCAACAAAAGUUGUGCCCGAUAACUUAUGUAUAAAUAUGAUGAUAAUAUACACACCGCAGACCUAAUAACUUAGGUACAAACACCGCGGUAACUUUGAUAGGGGGAGUUAUUCGAAACAUACCGCAGGUAACUCUUGUGUAAAAUAGCAUGGUAAUAUACAUACUGCAGACCUGAUAACUUAGGUACAAACACCACGGUAAUAUGAGCAAGUGGAGGGGUUAGUUCCUCAUCUGGUUGAUGGAGGAGUAUCCAUUCUACAGUAUGCUAACGACACUAUCUUAUUUAUGGAUCACGACAUUGCUAAGGCACGUAAUAUGAAACUUAUUUUAUGCCUAUUCGAACAGUUGUCUGGCUUAAAGAUAAACUUCCACAAAAGUGAACCGUUCUGCUUUGGGAAGGCCAAAGACGAACAAGAUACAUAUAGACAAUUGUUUGGAUGUGAAUUGGGUUCUUUAUCUUUUAGUUAUUUGGGCGUACCGAUCCAUCACCGUAAGUUAUCUAAUAAAGAAUGGAAAUGUAUCGAAGAUCGAAUAGAGAAAAAGCUGAGCUACUGGAAGGGUAAGCUCAUGUCUUAUGGAGGUCGGCUAAUGCUGAUUAACUCAGUACUGACUAGUAUGCUGAUGUUCCUACUAUCGUUCUUCGAAAUUCCAAAAGGGGUACGGAAACGACUUGAUUUCUUUAGAUCUCGAUUCUUCUGGCAGUCAGAUGAGGCCAAGAGGAAAUACCGUCUCGCGCGAUGGGACAUUCUUUGUCGACCAAAAGACCAGGGCGGGCUCGGUAUUGAGAACUUAGAGAUCAAGAACAAAUGCCUUAUGAGCAAAUGGCUCUAUCAGUUAGAGACUGAGCCGGAGGGCAUGUAGGCACAGAUUUUGCGUAAUAAGUACCUACAGUCGAAAACACUAGCUCAGAUUACAAUGAGACCAACCGACUCACCAUUCUGGAAAGGGCUCAUGAAAGUGAAGGGCUUGUUCUUUCGUAGGGUCAAAUUCCUAGUUGGCAAUGGGAUGUCAACAAGGUUUUGGGAAGAUACAUGGUUAGGAGACACGCCCUUGGCCAUCCAGUAUCCCACCCUGUAUAACAUAGUGCAACGUAAGGAGGAUUACGUUGGCACCGUUCUACAUACGAGUCCUUUGAAUACCCAGUUCAGACGAGUGUUAGUUGGUGAGCGUUGGAGUGCAUGGAUGCACUUUGCUCGGAGAUUGAUAGAUGUUCAACUCUCCGACCAACCAGAUUCGACGCAAUGGAAACUAGCUAGGAAUGGAGUUUUUACGGUAAAAUCUUUUAUAUGGAUCUGGUUAAUUCUAGCCCAAUCUCGAGAUCGUUGCAUAUUUGAAAGUUUAAGGUUCCUUUGCACAUUAAAAUCUUUAUGUGAUUUGUCCACAAAUAAGUAAUUCUUACAAAGGACAACUUAAUCAAAAGGAGAUAGGUAGGUAGUCCAUGAUGUUGUUUUUGUGAUCAUGAUGAAACAAUACAACAUUUAUUUCUUGAGUGCCCACUCGCCAAAUUAUUGUGGAGAUCGAUUCAUAUAGCCUUUCAUCACUCCUCCAGUUGACAUUACAACAUUGUUUGGAACGUGGUUAACUGGGGUUGAACAUACUACGCAGCCCGUAUUCGGAUCAGAAUAUGUGCGCUUUUGUGGGCUAUAUGGAAUUGCAGGAACGAUUUGAUAUUUAACAGACAAAACAAUUUAUCUUUCUUGCAGGUCAUCUUCAGAGCUACUGCUUGGAUCCGUACGUGGUCCUUACUCACUCAUAUGGAAUCCAGGGAGCCGUUGGUUACUGGGUGAAACCACUGGGAGAUGGUAGCACGGGCUUUAUUCAACCGGUUCGGAUGGCGGUCGCAUAACAGGAUAGGAGUCUAGGGAGCUUAUCCUUCUUUUUGCCAUUCCGGUUAUGUUUGUCAGCAUGAACUUUCUUUCUGUUUUCUUUUCGCUUCACUUGUGAGCUGUAAUACUUUGACGACUUUGUGUUACUUUGUGAACUUUUAAUAAGAUGGCUGCAUGCAUCAUUAUGAUGCAGAGGCCGGGGGUAUACCUCCAUUUCCAAAAAAAACACCACGGUAACUUUUUACUUGAGGAAAAAGUUAUUGAAUACACCGCCUAUAAUUUCUGUAUAAAUAGCAUGGUAAUGUAAACUUCGCAGACCUGAUAACUUAAGUACAAACACCGCGGGAACUUUGAUGGGGGGAGUUGUUGGAAACAUACCGCGGGUAACUCUUGUGUAAAAUAGCAUGGUAAUAUACAUACUGCAGACUUGAUAACUUAGGUACAAACACCGUCGUAACUUUUCACUUGGGGAAAAAUUAUUGAAUACAUCGCCGAUAAUUUCUGUAUAAAUAGCAUGGUAAUGUAAAUUUCGCAGACCUGAUAACUUAUGUACAAAUACCGCGGUAACUUUUACCUUGGGAAAACAAUUUAUUGAAUACAGUCCCCCAAUUUUUUGUAUAAGUAUCUUGGUAAUAUAAGCACCGCAUACCUAAUAAUUUAGGUACAAACAUCGCGACAACUUAGACCAUGGUAAUACAUGCAUCCGGAACUCAUAACUUAGCUAGAAACACCACGAUAACUUUGCCCCGAUGAAAAAAUAUACUGUAAACAUACCCUCAUAGCUUUUUGUUCAAAUAGUAUGUUAAUAUACGCAUCAUACAUCUAAUAAUUUAGGUACAAAACACCGUGCUAACUUUAACCACGAGAAAAAAAGUUCUUGAAAAAAUACCUCAAAAAAUUUAUGUGUAAAUAGGGAGUUAAUAUACGAACCAUAGGAGUAAUAGAUUAUUUUAGCUCAGGUUUGGUAACUUUUGAGCCAAAGAAAAGUCGUCGUAACAUACCAACAUGACAUCUAGUUUCGAAGGUCUCGUCGCGAUGAUUUUUUUUGUAUUUUUUUAACUUGAGCGACAAUUUGAGCUAUAAAUCAUUUUCAAUUUUUUAAACCGAGGAAAAUAUAGGAUGGCAUCAGAUUUUAUCCUCUAGCGCAUGCAUGUGUAUGCACGUGGGAAAAGGUUGUAGGAACAAUUUUUCAUGUCCCGGUAACUUUAGUGCAAACAUCAUGAUAACUUAUGUCGCACAGAUGUGAUAACUUACGUAGUCCGGACGUGAUAACUUUUGAUCCAAAAAAAAAAGUCGUCAGAACAUAUCAACAUGGAUCUAGUUUCGAAGGUCUCAUUGCGAUAAAUCUUUUAUGUAAAAACGAUUUUUCAAUCGGACCAACGGUUUAAGCUACAAAAUAUUUUAACGUUUCAAAACCAAGGGAAUAUAUGAUGACAUUAGCUUUCUGUCUUUUUCUGUAUGCAUGCAAUUAGUUGCUCUAAUAAGACCAGCACAUGCACCUAAUUAAGAGAGAAAAGUAAGAAGAUGCCGUAUUUGCAUGGAUUAGUAUAUAGAGUAGCACCAUUUGGAUCUAUUGCUAAAAUACGAACGUUUGGAAAAUAGUACAGUCCCUUUUCUUUUUAGGGGUAUGUGUUGAACUGAACUGACAAAUGUUGAUUUUUUUUAGAAAUAACUGACAAAUGUUGAUAGCGUCGUCGUUUUUUUUUUGAGAGGCACUCGAUACAUGGGCCGGCAGUGCUGCUAUUGUGUGAUAGGCCGGCCCAUCCCACGCGACGUGGGCGAGCGCCCGGUCCGCCUCCGACUCGCAGGAGGCGACAUGUAAACGUAUCCGAAUAUCCCUCGUCUCAUUAUCCGUCGCAGACCCGCAGCCGGAAAAUUCCCCCGAUCUUUUAUUUCACGCUCCUCGGCGGCGAAGCUCCUGUCGCCAUAAAGCCAGAGACAUGGACGAUCAUGUUGCGCAGAGCUGCCCGCCGGCCGAGGCUGAAUCCCCCCUCGCCGGAUUGUGCUUCCCUCGCAUCAGCGCCGAUCCAACGGAGGAGGAGAAGAUGGAGGCCCUCUCUCACGCCGUGCGGAGCGGGACAAAGGCCGGCAUGGAGGUGGAGCAGAUCCUCUCCCUCGCCACAGACCACGCCAACAACAACGCCGAUCUGGCCUGCCACGUCCUCGCGCAGAGCGGGAUCCCAGCCGACGCGGUCCUCUCGGCGGCCAUGAAAACAGGGCUGAAGGCCCGAGAGGAGGUCUACGCCACCCUGCUGGAGCAGCUACUCGCCUCCUUCGCCGAACCACAGGAGGACACCCAGCUGACAGAGUGGGGGUGGCCCCCCAAGCCCCAGUAUUCCCUCACCGAGAAGAGGAGCGGCCCAAGAGUAGACCCCAAGCAACCCUUCUUCCUCAUCAACAUGAAGGCGUCGGCGAAGACGGCGCAGAUAUCGUGGCCGAUGAAGAAGUACCCCCGCUACCCCCGGGACCGAGCGAGACACAAUCCUCUGCGCGUCGCACGGCUGGGCACAGGACCCGAGGGAUUUCGCGUAGAGCAGGCGGGGCAGGGCGGGCAGCCGGGCGCCCUCUCCUCCUUCAUCGACGUCACGUACAGCGGGUGGCCGCGCCCUAAGGAGGGCAUCUUUGUGGAAGGCUCCUCCGUGCCUCUCAGGGAGGUCGCCGUCAUCAAGAGGUUGCCCGCCGGUGAUGGGAUUUCUGUCAUGUCCUAUGUUGAUAGACUUGGUAUUAAGCUCGAUGAUAUCCUCUUUGUGUUGCACGUCCCGUCUGCUGCCAUGCCCCUGAGAUUCACCGAGCAGUCAUUUUAUGUCUCUGAAAACUUUGAGGAGAUUCCAUUGUAUGCCCCAACUGGUCUUGAUUUCAUUGACAUCAAUGCCCCCGUCAAGAAUCUGAUCAAGAAACUUUACCAGCUGUAUUUACAAGAGGAGCAAGAGAAAAAGACUAAGCGUGAGAAACACGAUCAUCAGGGGAGUGAGGAGCUGGUGUGCAGCCCAGAGGAGUUCAUGCUCCAAAUACAUGAGACUGAGGAGGAGAAACUAGAGUGCCUCCGGAGGAGAAGGGAGGACAGCAAGAAACAUAGAGAUCUGCGCAAGGAAAUGAAGGAAGCGGUUCAUCGGAUCAAGGAUGCAGCAAGGACUUCAGAAGAAGAAGCGCAGUAUGAGGAGCAGUAUGACCCAAUGCUUCUGCCGUUCCUGUUUCAGGAAGAAUGUGGUCUGUUGAAACCAUUGGAAGACCUGUGCCAAAGUGAGAAGAGGCACGACUGAUCGCUUGUGGAAGUCAUGGAGCAGGAAGUAAGCUCUUAUUAAGUUGCAGGCUUCGCGUGAUUGAUGAUUUAGUUGUGUAAAUUAUGGCUUGUAUUGUACUGCAUAGGAUUAUUGGAUGCAUUGGGGAAAUUACAUGCUGAUUUACAUGUAUAUAUUAGAUAGUAAAAACUAUCUGGAUUACACCCAAAUUAGAAAUUACCGUAUUUGUUAUAAUGUUAGGCUCUGUUUGGAGUUUUUAAUGCAAAAAAAGAAAACAAAAACACAGCUUUUGAAGUUACUAAUAAGACUACUUUCUUUUUGCAGUAACUUGCAAAAGCAUUGAGUGUUUUACACCGGCAGUAUUUUGCAGAUAACUUAGGCAUGCUAUUUAAUGCUGAAAACAUUUUAAAAAAUGAACGAUAUGCAUGUGGAACACCAAAGUCAAAGUGUGAUGUUUGCUCAGAUGUUUAUGCAUGCUAAUACUUUGCACAUAUAGUUUGCUUAUUGAUAUGUAUCUAUACACCUGUAAUUUUCUUUUUGUAGUACUGGCACCUGUCUUUUUCCUGAUGGUAAAUCCCUUUACAAUAUGUUGGCAUGUUCCACAAUCAUUUUGGAGUGCUAAACAUCUCUUGUCCAAGACAGCUGGUACAAGCAUGGCAGACCAAUGCUUCAGUCGUGUCCAGCCUAGAUCAACCAGACGUAGAUGGAAUUGAAAGGGUAACAAGCAUUGUUUUCUUGGUAAAAACAGAGGCAAGGAGGUGGAUUUUAAAUACUCCAAAAAGAACCACAGAAUUGUGAAUACCAUGGCUUAUAGAGUCAAAGUGUACCGUUAAACUGGUAUUUCUUGUAUCUAAAAACCUCAAAUUAUUUUAGCUUUUUCAGGAAUCAUGGUAUGUCAGAAAACCUCAAAAAUACUUUGCAUCCUAGCAGGAAAGUACUACCUCUGUACCGAAAUACUUAUAGUUGGGGGAAACUAGUACCGAACUACAAGUAUUUCGGUACAGAGGGAGUAGUUGCUUAUUGUGAGCUUGUGAUUUGUGCCUUUUUCUCACAGUUUCUUGGUUGAUUUUUUCCCAGUUUACAGUCUAGUAACGAGUUACAUUUAAGCCCUGGAUUGUCAAUGAUUCAAAUGUGCUUGAUGCUGUCGGUGGGUUGUAAGUGAUUCAAAUGUGCUUGUUGUUGUCGGCAGAUAUGAUCUACUGGACCUCGGUGGAGGUGGAGGUGAGGCAAGGGGGGUUAGAGAACCAUCGCCCACUUUGGUAUAUUGAUCAUUAAGGUGCAUUGUUAAUCUCGCUCUAACUUGUGAUUUGAAGUUAGCCCUCACAUAAGUUUAACAGUUUUGCUAAAGCACAUCUAGAUGUGCCAUAAGUAUUGUACAUCUAAGUCAUAUGUCAUUGAUCUUACAUUGAGAUUCGUGUGAAUAUUUUUUCCUUUUUCUUUUUCUUUUUCUCUUUAUGCUUGAUUCACUCACUUAGAUGUGCAAUAACUAGAGCACAUCUAGAUGUGCCCUACACACACCCUAAGUUUAAUAACUUACUAUUUUGGUCGCUGGGGCUUAUCCACUGCCUUAUCUAUUGUCUUUCCACUUGAGAGUGAAUUUAUAUUUAAUAUACGCAGUGUUAAAGAUAUUUGCUUGCAAUCAAUGAAUCCCAUGUUACACAUUAGUAAUUACACCAACUUGACAUUGUAAUACAUGUUGUAUUGUGGACUUGCAGCUGUUUGGGAGUACACUGGUACUCCCUCCGUAAAGAAAUAUAAGAGCGUUUAGAUCACUAAAGUAGUGAUCUAAACGCUCUUUUAUUUCUUUACAGAGGGAGUACUAAAUAGUCAAUGCCGUGAGAAUCAUUUCAUGUCAUGUGUGUUAUGAUUUGGUCAAUUUUACAUUGAGCCUGUUUGACCUAUAAAGCUAUAUCAGUACACCAUGAUACAGGCAUUGCUACAUCUGUCUCAUUUCUUUGUUUAUUGGAUUUUGGUAUUUUAGUUAGUUCCAUUUGUGUUUUUGUGUUUAUAAUGAUUAAUUUUUUGGAAUGCCAACACUGAGUUGUUUUUACUACUUUCUGUUGAUGUUUCACUGUCCUGUUUCCUCUCUGUAAAUUCAUAUUGCAACAGGCUAUUGUUUAUUCUUAUUCCAUAAUAUAAGGGGCCACUGCUUUUGGGGGAAAUGAACUGUGGUUAAAAUACUAGAAAUAGCAUUAUCGCACACAAAGAGAUUUACUUGUUACCAGAUAGUUGCUUAUGAUGUCCAGGCACUUGAAAAUAUUUGACAUUUGAUUCGUUUCUGUGGAAAUUGGCAACGAGAAGAUACAUUUAUAAGACAGAAUUAGGUUGUGGUCUUUCAAACUAGUACUCCGUAUUUGGGAAGAGUAUGCAAACGGAUAGAUGGGGGAUUAGUGUAACAUGGAUGCUAUUUCUAAGGAUUGCAAAUAUGUAGAACAUAGCUAAAUGACACAAAAUACUUGCAAACUUGUUUGAGAAUGGCCUUGUUGCUCCUGAUUAUGUCUUGCGUUCCAACAAUCAAUAAGAGACCUGAAUACUCUUCAGUCUGCCACAGAGAAACGGGAAAGCGUGUCAGAUAUUCUUGCUGCCUGCAUAAUUUGUAUUCCUUCUGAUGAUGCUCGAGUAAGUGCAGGUAUUUUUGAUUUAUCCCAUACAUAGAGUGAUUUACUCCUUGGCCUACUCAACCCGCUUGUUUGCUAGUCAUUAAUUGACCAUGCCCUCGUCUCGUGUGGUCGUGAUAUACUCCCUCAGUUCCUAAAUAUAAGUCUUUGUAAAGACUCCACUAUGAACAGUAUAUUGUAAGAGUUCAAACUGCAGUGUUCCAGUGUUCAGCCCCUUGCUUUGACAGCAGACCGUACUUGUGUUACUUUGCAGAAAUUGCCGCUGCCGUUAGGGUGUGUUGGAACUGCAUUUCCUUGAUUUUUCAGUAAUCAUCAUUGUCAUCAUUUUGCUUAUGCUGUUUUGAUUUUUUCCCUAGGGAGCACAGUGGGUGUAUGGGAUCUCAUCCUCUGGCUAUGGACAAUGCUUGUUGACUCAGCCUUGCAUUUUACUCAGCUUAAUGCCCUUGCUUCCAGGGGCCAUAGUGAUUUCUGAUGUUUGUUGGUUUGUCGCCCUUGUGAGGUUCCUAGUGUGACGUUUCCAUAAUGCUUUCAGCGUUGGAACAACAUGUUGGCAAUCUAUCUAGAGGUUAGCUGAGCUGAUAUGUUGAAUUAAACACUUUGACGGCCGAGUCAGAGGAUAUGAUUCUGUUGGUGUAGUAGUAAUGCUUUAGCACUCUAUAUGCUCAGCAUUUUUUACUUUUCUUUGAGAAAAUCUAUAUGCUCAACUUGUGCCUCCUCCCCUUGGGAACGUAGCUGGUGCACCGGGCCAUUUGAUGCUACUGGUGCACCAGACGCAUUAGCACAUUUUAAAAUGUUUCAAAAAAUCCGAAAAAAAAUCUAACACGUUGGCAUAACAUCAAUAUAUGUUUUCACAAAAUUUCGUACCAAAAUUCAAAACAUUGCUCAAGAUACAAAUAUGAGAAUUUGAUAUUAUAGUGUGAUAAUGGGCCAAAUCUAAAGCCCAACUUGUGUUAUGGUGAUGUUAGUCAUGUUUAUCUGUAUGUAGUGUCAAAUUAGUCAUGUUUAUAUCUCAAGCUAUGUUUUGAAUUUUAUGACAACACACAUUAAUGUUUAUGAUGACGUGCUAGAUUUUUUUUCAAUUUUUUAGAAUUGAAAAUGUCCUAAGAAAGUUUGGUGCACCGGUAGCACCAAAUGGCCCGGUGCACCAAAUAAGUUCUCUCCUCCCCCGCCCAUAAGGCCAGAACGACGUUGUAAAGCUAAUCCCUGCCCACUGGGCCGUCGAGGGUUGUGCACCGUGUGGCCGUCGUUUUAUUUUCUCGAACCCAAUUUCAUCCGCUCAAAAACGAGUGAAUUGCAAAAAACCACCACAUUUGAAGUUGAAGCAUCCAAUUGCCACCACAUUUGUUGCGCGUCCCAAAAAUCCACCAUUUGACUUGUAAAUUUUCUCAAUAAAAACAAAUGACCGGUUUGCCGCAGUUAAUACGAUUUCUGACUAGGCUGGCCCACCCGUCAGGUGCCACGUGGGCGAGGCCAGACGGCGAGUGGGUUGACGGCCGUUAGGGCACGCGCGUGGUCAAAGCGCUCGCGGCUCUGACUGCUUGGCCCAUUCUCCCCUCUUUCCCCCGUCACUCUCUCUGUCCUGCGAUGGCGGCGGCGGCUAAACCUAGCGGCAGCGGCGGCGGCGAGUCAGCAGGCGGCGGAGGGACUGGAGGCGAUGGUGAUGGGUUCUCGGAGGUGGACAACUGGUUCGGAAGCAGUAGCUUGCCGACGCAGCGGGCUCCUUCACCGUAGCGAUCCCCUUCGCCCCCCUCGCCACCGGAGUGGGACAUUGAGCGCCGUGCGGCGGCGGCCCUAGCACGCAAGAUCAGGGCUUCAGGCGUUGGAGAAGGCCAUCAGUGGGCUUCAGGGUUCGGUGGCGUGUGGUAAGAUUUCUUCCCCCUCCACCCCUCUCUUCAUUGGAUUCACUGGAAAUUUUAGGGUUGUUAGAUUGCAUAUAAACCUAUCAUGUUACAGUAGGGCUGUUAGAUUUUAGGAAAUUUUAGGGUUGUUAGAUUUUAGGAGAUUUUAGGGCAGUUUGAUUUUAGGGCUUUGUUUACUGAAGAUUAUUGUUUGUUUACUCAAGUGUUGUAGUUGAUAUAGUUAAUAUCUUUUCUGUAUAACAUGUUUCAGUAGGAAAUAUAGCUCUGGGUUUAUAGUUUUAUGCAUGAAUGCUUUGUUUACUCCUUAUUGACAGUGAAGAUAGUGCUAAUAUCUUGUCUGAAUAACAUGUUACAUUAUUAAAACAGAAUCAAUCAAGCACUAAUUCUCCUCAAUUUUAUGUAGUUUGGAUGAUGAGAUAUGGGAAAUAAGGUACCAUUUUCAAGGGAGAGACAACUUGGAGAGGACCAUUUCUUUGUCAGAAAUUACUUUUAUGAACAUGUUAGCACUACUAGAGACUGAAGAGGGAUAUACUGAAGCUGAUUACAUGUUCUAUAUGAAAGAAGAAGGAAAGGGGGCAGCAGGAAUGCAGGUUAUUGACGGUGAAGAUAGUGUGGAAGAGAUGCUAGACUAUUAUGCUGAGCAGCAGGUGCUCAACAUAACUGUAAUUAAGGCUAAUAAGCCUAAUCCAGGAGAGUUUUAUAGGUAAAAUAUUAUGGAGGAACAAGUGCCUAUAAGUAAUGUGGGGGAUUCCAACAUUAUUUCUAUAGAUGAGGCAGGAGUAUUGUUCCCUAUUGUUGUUGAAGAUACAAUUGAAGAGUUGUAUGUUGUGCCUAUUGCUGUUGUAGAGCCAGGUCAAGAGUCUGCAUAUAUUAACACACAACAGAGCAUGAAUUUGAAGAAAGCAAAGGGCAAAGAGAAAGUACAGGAAGAUGUUGGCCCCUCUGAUGAUGAAGUGUUUGUUGAUUUGAACUGCUGUGAGAAGGAAGAUGAAAUCGUUGAGGAGGAAGAGCAUGAUAUAGGUAAUGAGGAGGAAGAUGAAAUCAUUGAGAAGCUGAAGCAGAAAAGGAAACAAAGAGAGGAUCCUAUGCAUCACUUUGAAGGAGACACAGAAGUGGAAGAGAUGUGCCAGAGGCAGAGGACUCAGACACAGAACCUGAGACACCUCUUCCUCAAACAUUCAAGAAAGUAGGCAAAGCAGGCCCCACUACAAGAUCACACCAUGAAGCUGACAUUGAGGUAAUUCCUGAUUUCAUUCCAUCUGAUGAUUCUGCUUGUUUCCCUGGGGACCAUGGCAUUAGUGAUUCAGAUGAUGAGUCAGGUCUACCACUCCCUUGUGGAAGGAAGAGUCAAGCCAAGAGGGCCAGGACUAGGAUCUGGUAUGAUGAGAGCAAGCCAGAUGCUCAUGACCAACUUUGCUUGAGUAUGUGCUUCACUGAUGUGUAUCAGUUUAGAAGAGCACUUAGGAAUUUUCAUAUCAGAAUCCUUAGAAAUUUCCAGUACCAUAGGAACUGCAAGGAUAGGAUCAUUGUGCAUUGCACAGAAAGGGACAAUGGGUGUCCUUUUUUCAUGACUGCAUCCACAAUUGCUCAUGAGAAGACAUUCUGCAUCAAGAAGAUGCAGUUGUUGCACACUUGUGGUGCACAUGGAGAAAAAACCAAAGUGACAGUUGACUGGAUGGCCAAAACAUGUGAGCAGCAACUGAGAGAUAAUCCAAGGGCUGGUGUUGAUGCAAUUUUAAAAAGAACAAAGACUAAGUAUGGGCUGGAAGUGCCAAAGACCAAGGCCUACAGGGCAAGGUCAUUGGCCAUUGAAGUGGUGGAAGGUGACAUGAAGGGACAAUACACAAGGUUUAAGGAUUAUCUUCAAGCUGUGCUUGAUACCAACCCUGGGAGCAGAUGCAUUGUGACUACCAGAGAGCUUGAGCUCCAUCCUAGCCCAAAUCCUAGGUUCCACUACAUGUUCUAUUGUCUGAAUGCUUCAAAAGAAGGUUUCUUGAAUGGGUGUAGGCCCUUUAUAGGUAUUAUAUGUAUUCCAAAUUACUCCAAUUCAUUGCCCAUAUCUUGUACUUAAUAAUGCACUGAUUUCACUACCCAAUGCUUUAAUACAGGUUUAGAUGGUUGCUUUAUCAAGCUUUCUACUGGGCAACAGAUACUUGCAGCCACUGGUAGGGAUGGGAAUAACAACAUAUUCCCUAUUGCAAUUGGUAUUGUUGAUAAGGAGGACAAGGAAAGUUGGACUUGGUUUCUUAGCCAAUUAAGAGCUUGCAUUGGAGAGGGGAACAAGUGGGGCACAUACACAAUCAUCUCUGAUAGACAGAAGGUAUAUUUUUCAUUUCACAAUUGAAUAAGCAAUUUCUAGAAAUAAUAAUUUGUUAUACUUGCUGCAAUUGUGAAGUAAUAUGAUCAAUAAUUUGUAAUACUUGCUGCAAUUAUGAAGUUAUAUGAUUAAUAAUCUAUAUAAUGACUUAAAACAGGGGCUGUUGAAUGCAAUUCAAGCUGUGUUCCCACACUCACCUCAAAGAUAUUGUCUUAGACAUAUCUAUGAAAAUUUCCAGUCAGCUGGCUUCAGAAGUGAGGAGUUGAAGAAGCAUAUGGACAAUGCUGCAUAUUCAUACACCAAGAAUGGUUUUGAGGUUGCAAUGAAUGAACUGAGAAAGGAGGAUAAAGAUGCUUGGAAGUGGCUUUGUGAUAUCCCUAAAGAGACUUGGGCAAGGCAUGCUAUGGAUCACACAUUCAAGACAGACCUAGUAGUCAACAAUCUUAGUGAAGUAUUUAACAAGAUGAUACUAGAUGUGAGGAACAAGCCAAUAAGGAGCUGUGUAGAUGGAUUCAGAACUAAGUUGAUGGUUAAGUACCAAGCAGUUAGAGAGAAGACAGAGAAGAGUAAGUGGGAGAUAACACCCACUUAUAUGGAGAAGUUGGAGGAGUCAAAGAAGUACUCAAGGCAAUGCACUGCAUACAUGGCAGGUCCUGGUAUUUGGCAAGUCACUAGUGGGGAGUCUACCUGUUGGGGAACGUAGCAGAAAUUCAAAAUUUUCCUACGUGUCACCAAGAUCUAUCUAUGGAGAAACCAGCAAUGAGGGGAAGAAGAGUGCAUCUACAUACCCUUGUAGAUCGCUAAGCGGAAGCAUUCAAGAGAACGGGGUUGAAGGAGUCGUACUCGUCGUGAUCCAAAUCACCAGAGAUCCUAGUGCCGAACGGACGGCACCUCCGCGUUCAACACACGUACAGCCCGGUGACGUCUCCCAUGCCUUGAUCCAGCAAGGAGAGAGGGAGAGGUUGAGGAAGACUCCAUCCAGCAGCAGCACAACAGCGUGGUGGUGGUGGAGGAGCGUGGUAAUCCUGCAGGGCUUCGCCAAGCACCGCGGGAGAGGAGAAGGACUUGGGAGACGGGGAGGGCUGCGCCAGAACAUUGGUGCAGCUGCCCUCCCACCCCCCACAUAUAUAUAGGGGCAAGGGAGAGGGGGGGCGCAGCCUUGGCCCUUCCUCCAAGGAAGGGUGCGGCCAGGGAGGAGUCCAUCCUCCCCAAGGCACCUAGGAGGUGCCUUCCCCCUUUAGGACUCUUCCUUUCCUUAUCUCUUGGCGCAUGGGCCUCUUGGGGCUGGUGCCCUUGGCCCAUAUAGGCCAAGGCGCACACCCCUACAGCCCAUGUGGCCCCCCGGGGCAGGUGGACCCCCUUGGUGGACCCCCGGAACCCCUUCGGUGGUCCCGGUACAAUACCGAUAAAACCCAAAACUUUUCCGGUGACCAAAACAGGACUUCCUAUAUAUAAAUCUUUACCUCCGGACCAUUCCGGAACUCCUCGUGACGUCCGGGAUCUCAUCGGGACUCCAAACAACAUUCGGUAACCACAUACAAACUUCCUUUAUAACCCUAGCGUCAUCGAACCUUAAGUGUGUAGACCCUACGGGUUCGGGAACCAUGCAGACAUGACCGAGACGUUCUCCGGUCAAUAACUAACAGCAGGAUCUGGAUACCCAUGUUGGCUCCCACAUGCUCCACGAUGAUCUCAUCAGAUGAACCACGAUGUCAAGGACUUUAAUCAAUCCCGUAUACAAUUCCCUUUGUCUAGCGGUACGAUACUUGCCCGAGAUUCGAUCGUCGGUAUCCCGAUACCUUGUUCAAUCUCGUUACCGGCAAGUCUCUUUACUCGUUCCGUAACACAUCAUCCCGUGAUCAACUUCUUGAUCACAUUAUGCACAUUAUGAUGAUGUCCUACCAAGUGGGCCCAGAGAUACCUCUUCGUCACACGGAGUAACAAAUCCCAGUCUCGAUUCGUGCCAACCCAACAGACACUUUCGGAGAUACCCGUAGUGCACCUUUAUAGUCACCCAGUUACUUGUGACGUUUGGCACACCCAAAGUAUUCCUACGGUAUCCGGGAGUUGCACGAUCUCAUGGUCUAAGGAAAUGAUACUUGACAUUAGAAAAGCUUUAGCAUACGAACUACAUGAUCUUGUGCUAGGCUUAGGAUUGGGUCUUGUCCAUCACAUCAUUCUCCUAAUGAUGUGAUCCAGUUAUCAACGACAUCCAAUGUCCAUGGCUAGGAAACCGUAACCAUCUAUUGAUCAACGAGCUAGUCAACUAGAGGCUUACUAGGGACAUGGUGUUGUCUAUGUAUCCACACAUGUAUCUGAGUUUCCUAUCAAUACAAUUCUGGCAUGGAUAAUAAACGAUUAUCAUGAACAAGGAAAUAUAAUAAUAAUCAAUUUAUUAUUGCCUCUAGGGCAUAUUUCCAAUAGUCUCCCACAUGCACUAGAGUCAAUAAUCCAGUUCACAUCGAUAUGUGAUUAACACUCAAGGUCACAUCCCCAUGUGACUAACACCCAAAGAGUUCUGGGUUUGAUCAUGUUAUGCUUGUGAGAGAGGUUAUAGUCAACGGGUCUGAAUCUUUCAGAUCCGUAUGUACUUCGCAAAUUUCUAUGUCAUCUUGUAGAUGCAACUACUAUGCUACAUUUGGAGCUAUUCCAAAUAAUUGUUCUACUAUACGAAUCCAGUUUACUACUCAGAAUAAUCUGGAUUAGUGUCAAAGUUUGCAUCGGUGUAACCCUUUACGACGAACUCUUUUACCACCUCCAUAAUCGAGAAAAAUUCCUUAGUCCACUAGUCACUAAGGAUAACUUUGACCGUUGUCCUGUGAUCCAUUCUUGGAUCACUCUUGUACCCCUUGACUAACUCAUGGCAAGGCACAUUUCAGGUGCGGUACACAGCAUAGCAUACUGUAGAGCCUAUGUCUUAAGCAUAGGGGACGACCUUCGUCCUUUCUCUCUAUUCUGCCGUGGUCGAGCUUUAAGUCUUAACUUCAUACCUUACAACUCAGGCAAGAACUCCUUCUUUGACUGAUCCAUCUUGAACACCUUCAAGAUCAUGUCAAGGUAUGUGCUCAUUUGAAAGUACCAUUAAGCGUUUUGAUCUAUCCUUAUAGAUCUUGAUGCUCAAUGUUCAAGUAGCUUAAUCCAGACUUUCCAUUCAAAAACACUUUUCAAAUAACUCUGCAUGCUUUCUAGAAAUUCUACAUCAUUUCUGAUCAACAAUAUGUUAACAACAUAUACUCAUCAGAAAUUCUACAGUGCUCCCACUCACUUCUUUGGAAAUACAAGUUUCUCAUAAACUUUGUAUAAAUCCAAAAUCUUUGAUCAUCAUCAAAGCAUACAUUCCAACUCCGAGAUGCUUACUCCAGUCCUCAGAAGGAUUGCUGGAGCUUUGCAUACCUAUUAGCAUCUUUCAGGAUUGACAAAACCUUCCGGUUGUAUCACAUACAACCUUUCCUCAAGAAAAUCUUCAAGGAAACAAUGUUUUGACAUCCUAUCUGCAAGAUUUCAUAAAUAAUGCAGUGACUGCUAAUAUAAUUCCAACAGACUCUUAGCAUCACUACGAGUGAGAAAGUCUCAUCGUAGUCAACUCCUUGAACUUGUCAGAAAACAUCUUAACGACAAGUCGAGCUUUCUUAAUGGUGACAUUUACCAUCAUUGUCCGUCUUCCUUUUAAAAUCCAUCUGAACUCAACAGCCUUACGACCAUCGAGCCGUUCCGCCAAAGUCUACACUUUGUUUUCAUACAUGGAUCCUCUCUCGGAUUUUAUGGCCUCGAGCCAUUUAUCAGAAUCCGGGCCCACCAUCGCUUCUCCAUAGCUCGUAGGUUCAUUGUUGUCUAGCAACAUGACUUCCAAGACAGGAUUACGUACCACUCUGAAGUAGUACGCAUCCUUGUCAUCCUACGAGGUUUGGUAGUGACUUGAUCUGAAGUUUCAUGAUCACUGUCAUAAGCUUCCACUUCAAUUGGUGUAGGUGCCACAGGAACAACUUCCUGUGCCCUGCCACACACUAGUUGAAGAGACGGUUCAGUAACCUCAUCAAGUCUCCACCAUCCUCCCACUCAAUUCUUUCAAGAGAAACUUUUCCUUGAGAAAGGACCCGAUUCUAGAAACAAUCCCUUAUUGCUUUCGAAUCUGAGACAGGAGGUAUACCCAACUGUUUUGGGUGUCCUAUGAAGAUGCAUUUAUCCGCUUUGGGUUCGAGCUUAUCAGCCUGAAACUUUUUCACAUAAGCAUCGUAGCCCCAAACUUUUAAGAAAUGACAGCUUAGGUUUUCUCUAAACCAUAGUUCAUACGGUGUCAUCUCAUCGGAAUUACAUGGUGCCCUAUUUAAAGUGAAUAUGGUUGUCUCUAAUGCCUAACCCAUAAACUAUCGUGGUAAUUCGAUAAGAGACAUCAUGGUAUGCAUCAUAUCCAAUAGGGUGCAGUUAUGAUGUUCGGACACACCAUCACACUAUGGUGUUCCAGGCUGUAUUAGUUGUGAAACAAUUUCCACAAUGUCUUAAUUCUGUGCCAAACUCGUAAUUCAGAUAUUCAUCUCUAUGAUCAUAUCAUAGAUAUUUUAUCCUCUUGUCACGACGAUCUUUCAACUUCACCCUGAAAUUACUUGAACCUUUCAAUAAUUCAGACUCGUGAUUCAUCAAGUAAAUAUACUCAACAUCUACUCAAAUCAUCUGUGAAGUAAGAACAUAACAAUAUCCACUACACGCCUCAGCACUCAUUGGACUGCACACAUCAAAAUGUAUUACUUCCAACAAGUUGCUUUCUAGUUCCAUUUUACUGAAAACGAGGCUUUCAGUCAUCUUGCCCAUGUGGUAUGAUUUGCAUGUCUCAAGUGAUUCAAAACCAAGUGAGUCCAAACGAUCCAUUUGCAUGGAGUUUCUUCAUGCAUAUACACCAAUAGACAUGGUUCGCAUGUCUCAAACUUUUCAAAAAUGAGUGAGUCCAAAGAUCCAUCAACAUGGAGCUUCUUCAUGCGUUUUGUACCGAUAUGACUUACGUGGUAGUGCCACAAGUAGGUGGUACUACCAUUACUUAUCUUUUGGCAUGAAUAUGUGUAUCACUACGAUCGAGAUUUCAAUAAAUCAUUCAUUUUAGGUGCAAGACCAUUGAAGGUAUUAUUCAAAUAAACAUAGUAACCAUUAUUCUCCUUAAAUGAAUAACCGUAUUGCGAUAGACAUAAUCCAAUCAUGUCUAUGCUCAACGCAAACACCAAUCUCGAUGGUAGAGGGAGCGUACGAUAUUUGAUCAACCUUGGAAAUACUUCCAACACAUAUCGUCAUCUCACCUUUAGCUAGUCUCCGUUUAUUCCGUAGCUUUUAUUUCGAGUUACUAACACUUAGCAACCGAACCGGUAUCUAAUGCCCUGGUGCUACUAGGAGUACUAGUAAAGUACACAUCAACACAAUGUAUAUCCAAUAUACUUCUAUCGACCUUGCCAGCCUUCUAAUCUACCAAGUAUCUAGGGUAAUUCUGCUCCAGUGGUUGUUCCCCUUAUUACAGAAGCACUUAGUCUCGGGUUUGGGUUCAACCUUGGGUCUCUUCACUAGAGCAGCAGCUGGAUUGCCGUUUCAUGAAGUAUCCCUUCUUGCCCUUGCCCUUCUUGAAACUAGUGGUUUCACCAACCAUCAACAAUUGAUGCUCCUUCUUGAUUUCUACUUUGGUGUCAAACAUCGCGAAUAUCUCAAGGAUCAUCAUAUAUGUCCCUGAUAUAUUAUAGUUCAUCACGAAGCUAUAGUAGCUUGGUGGUAAUGACUUCGGAGAAACAUCACUAUCUCAUCUGGAAGAUCAACUCCCAAUCGAUUCAAAUGAUUGUUGUACUCACACAAUCUGAGCACAAGCUCAACAAUUGAGCUUUUCUCUCUUAGUUUGCAGGCUAAGAAAAUCGUCGGAGGCCUUAUACCUCUUGACGUGGGCACGAGCCUGAAAUCCCAAUUUCAGCCCUCAAAACAUCUCAUAUGUUUCGCGGCGUUUCAAAAACUUCUUCGGUGCCUCAACUCUUAAACCGUUUAACUGAACUAUCACGUAGUUAUCAAAAUGUGUAUGUCAGAUGUUCGCAACAUCCACAGACGACGUUCGAGGUUCAGCACACUGAGCGGUGCAUUAAGGACAUAAGCCUUCUAUGAAGCAAUGAGGACAAUCCUCAGUUUACAGACCUAGUCCGCAUAAUUGCUACUAUCAACUUUCAACUAAAUUUUCUCUAGGAACAUAUCUAAACAGUAGAACUAAAGCGUGUGCUACGACAUAAUUUGUGAAGACCUUUCGACUAUGUUCAGGAUAAUUAAGUUCAUCUUAUGAACUCCCACUCAGAUAGACAUCCCUCUAGUCAUCUAAGUGAUUACAUGAUCCGAGUCAACUAGGCCGUGUCCGAUCAUCACGUGAGACGGACUAGUCACCAUCGGUGAACAUCUUCAUGUUGAUCGUAUCUACCAUACGACUCAUGCUCGACCUUUCGGUCUUCUGUGUUCCGAGGCCAUGUCUGUACAUGCUAGGCUCGUCAAGUCAACCUAAGUGUUUCGCGUGUGUUCCAAGGCCAUGUCUGUACAUGCUAGGCUCGUCAACACCCGUUGUAUUCGAACGUAAGAAUCUAUACACCCGAUCAUCACGUGGUGCUUCGAAACAACGAACUGUCGCAAUGGUGCACAGUUAGGGGGAACACUUUCUUGAAAUUUAGUGAGGGAUCAUCUUAUUUACUACCGUCGUUCUAAGCAAAUAAGAUGUAUAAACAUGAUAAACAUCACAUGCAAUCAAAUAGUGACAUGAUAUGGCCAAUAUCAUAUUGCUCCUUUUGAUCUCCAUCUUCGGGGCUCCAUGAUCAUCAUCGUCACCGGCAUGACACCAUGAUCUCCAUCAUCAUGAUCUCCAUCAUUGUGUCUCCAUGAAGUUGUCUCGCCAACUAUUACUUCUACUACUACAGCUAACGGUUAGCAAUAAAGUAAAGUAAUUACAUGACGUUUAUGUUGACACGCAGGUCAUAAAUAAAUUAAGACAACUCCUAUGGCUCCUGCCGGUUGUCAUACUCAUCGACAUGCAAGUCGUGAUUCCUAUUACAAGAACAUGAUCAUCUCAUACAUCACAUAUAUCAUUCAUCACAUCCUUUGGCCAUAUCACAUCACAUAGCAUACCCUGCAAAAACAAGUUAGACGUCCUCUAAUUGUUGUUUGCAUGUUUUACGUGGCUGCUAUGGGUUUCUAGCAAGAGCGUUUCUUACCCACGCAAAGACCACAAUGUGAUAUGCCAAUUGCUAUUUACCCUUCAUAAGGACCCUUUUCAUCGAAUCCGAUCCGACUAAAGUGGGAGAGACAGACACCCGCCAGCCACCUUAUGCAACUAGUGCAUGUCAGUCGGUAGAACCGGUCUCACGUAAGCGUACGUGUAAGGUUGGUCCGGGCCGCUUCAUCCCACAAUGCCGCCGAAUCAAGAUUGGACUAGUAACGGUAAGCAUAUUGAACAAAAUCAACGCCCACAACUACUUUGUGUUCUACUCGUGCAUAGAAUCUACGCAACAGACCUAGCUCAUGAUGCCACUGUUGGGGAACGUAGUAGAAAUUCAAAAUUUUCCUACGUGUCACCAAGAUCUAUCUAUGGAGAAACCAGCAAUGAGGGGAAGAAGAGUGCAUCUAUGUACCCUUGUAGAUCGCUAAGCGGAAGCGUUCAAGAGAACGGGGUUGAAGGAGUCGUACUCGUCGUGAUCCAAAUCACCGGAGAUCCUAGUGCUGAACCGACGGCACCUCCGCGUUCAACACACGUACAGCCCGGUGACGUCUCCCAUGCCUUGAUCCAGCAAGGAGAGAGGGAGAGGUUGAGGAAGACUCCAUCCAGCAGCAGCACAACGGCGUGGUGGUGGUGGAGGAGCGUGGUAAUCCUGCAGGGCUUCGCCAAGCACCGCGGGAGAGGAGAAGGACUUGGGAGACGGGGAGGGCUGCGCCAGAACAUUGGUGCGGCUGCCCUCCCACCCCCCACAUAUAUAUAGGGGCAAGGGAGAGAGGGGGCGCAGCCUUGGCCCUUCCUCCAAGGAAGGGUGCGGCCAGGGAGGAGUCCAUCCUCCCCAAGGCACCUAGGAGGUGCCUUCCCCCUUUAGGACUCUUCCUUUCCUUAUCUCUUGGCGCAUGGGCCUCUUGGGGCUGGUGCCCUUGGCCCAUAUAGGCCAAGGCGCACACCCCUACAGCCCAUGUGGCCCCCCGGGGCAGGUGGACCCCCUUGGUGGACCCCCGGAACCCCUUCGGUGGUCCCGGUACAAUACCGAUAAAACCCGAAACUUUUCCGGUGACCAAAACAGGACUUCCUAUAUAUAAAUCUUUACCUCCGGACCAUUCCGGAACUCCUCGUGACGUCCGGGAUAUCAUCUGGGACUCCGAACAACAUUCGGUAACCACAUACAAACUUCCUUUAUAACCCUAGCGUCAUCGAACCUUAAGUGUGUAGACCCUACGGGUUCGGGAACCAUGCAGACAUGACCGAGACGUUCUCCGGUCAAUAACCAACAGCGGGAUCUGGAUACCCAUGUUGGCUCCCACAUGCUCCACGAUGAUCUCAUUGGAUGAACCACGAUGUCAAGGACUUUAAUCAAUCCCGUAUACAAUUCCCUUUGUCUAGCGGUACGAUACUUGCCCGAGAUUCGAUCGUCGGUAUCCCGAUACCUUGUUCAAUCUCGUUACCGGCAAGUCUCUUUACUCGUUCCGUAACACAUCAUCCCGUGAUCAACUUCUUGAUCACAUUGUGCACAUUAUGAUGAUGUCCUACCGAGUGGGCCCAGAGAUACCUCUUCGUCACAUGGAGUGACAAAUCCCAGUCUCGAUUCGUGCCAACCCAACAGACACUUUCGGAGAUACCCGUAGUGCACCUUUAUAGUCACCCAGUUGCGUUGUGACGUUUGGCACACCCAAAGUAUUCCUACGGUAUCCGGGAGUUGCACAAUCUCAUGGUCUAAGGAAAUGAUACUUGACAUUAGAAAAGCUUUAGCAUACGAACUACAUGAUCUUGUGCUAGGCUUAGGAUUGGGUCUUGUCCAUCACAUCAUUCUCCUAAUGAUGUGAUCCUGUUAUCAACGACAUCCAAUGUCCAUGGCUAGGAAACCGUAACCAUCUAUUGAUCAACGAGCUAGUCAACUAGAGGCUUACUAGGGACAUGGUGUUGUCUAUGUAUCCACACAUGUAUCUGAGUUUCCUAUCAAUACAAUUCUAGCAUGGAUAAUAAACGAUUAUCAUGAACAAGGAAAUAUAAUAAUAAUCAAUUUAUUAUUGCCUCUAGGGCAUAUUUCCAACACUACCUACUGUGUGAACCUUGAUAAGUGGACCUAUGACUGCAAGAAAUGGGACCUAUGUGGUUGGCCAUGUAACCAUGCAGUUUCUGCCAUUACAAGAGUGAAGGGACAGCCAGAAGACUAUGUGCAUGAGUUCUUCAAAAAACCAUUGUAUAAGGAAACAUACAAGCACAUCAUCUACCCUGUACCAGGGCCUGACUGUUGGCCUAGGACAACAACUGUUGACAUAGAUCCACCAGUGUUCAAAGAGAAGAAGGGCAGGAAGCAAACAGCUAGGAGGAAGGGGCAAUUUGAGGUCCCAACAAAGAAGGAUACAUCAAGGAUGGCAACUAUCACCUGCAGCAACUGCAAUAUGCAGAAACAUAGGUACACCUACUGCCCUCAGCCCCUGAAGCCUCAUCUUCAGGCAAGAAAGGACAAGCACAAGGUAUGGAAUAUGCACACUAUUGUCAUUGUUUUAAUCAUUUGAUUCAUCCUAAUUGUUGGGCUAUGAUGUGUGCUUUCUUAGACAACCAGAACUCACUACCAUGGAGCUAGGGGAAGUUCUACUGCUACUGCAUAGCCUGCAACCAGUGCACCACCUGCUGCAUCUACUAGGGUUAGAAGAACAACUGCUACUGGUCAUUCCCAGCCUGCUACAUCUACCAGGGGAAGAAAAUCAACUGCUACUGGUCAUUCCCAACCUGCUACAUCUACCAGGGGAAGAAAAUCAACUGCUGCUUCUACUGGUCCUGCCCAGCCUGCUACUUCUACAAGGCCAAGAAGAACAACUGCUGCUUCUAGAAGGGCAAGCAUCACCAGUGAUGCUUCUACUACUCCUUCCCAGGCUGCCACAAGAGCCUCAGGUUCAAGCAAUGCAGCCAGCAGGAGUGGUGGAAGGCCCUACAUGGCACCUAGGGCUGCAACUACAAUAGAGGGAGCAACAGUAGGGUCUAAAAGGAAGAGGUUCCAGAGCACCAGGAUGAGGGGUUACUUUUAUGCUAGUGGCAACUAGUCAGUGCACAAUUUGGCUGUUGUCUUUUGAACCGCCUGCCUUAAGUAUUUCUAAAUUUCAGAAACUAUGCCUGAGAACUGCUAUGUGUAAUCAGUAUUUAGCCUGAGAACUACUAUGUGUGAACUAUGCUUGAGAACUUGUUUGUGUUACCAUGCUAAGUUUGAGAACUUGUAUGGAUGAUAACUCUUAUGGUUGAGAACAUGUUUGUUUCAUCAACAAUUUACUUGUUUGAUUUUAUGCUUUUUGCUAUUCUAUGAGAUUUUGGCAUUUGAUGGUUAGUUUGGAGUGGUGGUUUUGUCGAGCCCGAGCCACCCUAAAGCCUAAAUGAUAGGUUGAGUGGCUUUGUCGAGCCAAAGCCACCUUGAAGACUAAAUGGUGGUUUCGGUGGUUUUGUCGAGCCCAAGGCACUCUAAAGCCUAGAUUAUAGGUUUAGGGUGGUUUUGUUGAGCCCGAGCCACCCUAAAGCCUGAAUGAUAGGUUUAGGGUGGCUUUGUCGAGCCCAAGCCACCCUAAAGCCUAAAUGAGCCUAAAUGAUAGGUUUAGGGUGUUUUUGUCGAGCCCAAGCCACCUUGAAGAUUUAAUGGUGGUUUGGGUGGUUUUGUCGAGCCCAAGCCACCAUACAACCUAAAUGAUAGGUUUAGGGUGGCUUUGUCGAGCCCAAGCCACCCUAAAGCCUAAAUGAUUGUUUUAGUUGGCUUGGGUUAAAAUUCAGUUUAGUUAAAAUUCAGAGCCAAUUAAGGAGGACAAGGAAAGUUGGACUUGGUUUCUUAGCCAAUUAAAAGCCUACCUAACACCAUUAAUCUAUUUCCUACCUACCAGCCACCAUUUCUACUAUAUAAGGCACCCCCCAAUUGCCACACACAACAUUCAAACCCAAACACAAUCACUUCUCUUCCCCCAGCCGCCAGAGCAAACCCUUUGAGAGAUGGAUCUUGGAGAGGUUGUCGAUGAAGAAGAACAGGUGCCCAGGGCCAGGCGUAGAGAGGCAAGAAGGAGGGAGAGAAGGCAACUAGCUCAGCGGAUCCUUGCAGCACGCAACCGCAAAGACAUGGAGCAGUUCGUGGAGGCAUUCCCAGUUGGCUCCAACCCUACUGAUGAUGAUAUCAUCUACUGGGCAAGGAGGAGGGCCAAUUUCCAUCCUUUUUAGGUUACUAGGAUGAGGUGGAGUAGGAUUCUGUACCUAGAUGAACGAUAUGUUAAGUUUCACUGCUCCUAGAUCUAUCUUGCUAUCUAUCUAUGUAUCAAAUCAGUUGAUGAGUGCAAUGUAAUAAAUCCUAGAUGGUGAGUGCACUAUGCAUAUUUUUGGAUUAUUAGGAUUCUGUACCCUAUAGGUUAAAUGCAUAUCUUUGUGCUUUAUGUGAUCAACAAUUUACAUCAUGUAAGCAUUUGCCCAAUUUGGCCAUGCCUAGUUGGUCUUGACCAUUCACCAUGUAGUCCAAAGAAGCAGAUUCAUAAUAGCAUAGCUCUUACUAUAGAAAGCUAACAACAUUACAUAACUGGGGUAGUUUUGCAGCUAGUCAUUACAUACAUUACAUAAAUUAACUGGAGGUAGUUUUGCAGAUAAACAUCACAGUCAUUACAUAACUAGGGGAUUCCCAAAAUAUACAACCCCAAGGCCAGCUAUAUUGUUCCAAGGCUACAUAUUAGCUUAACAUAACUGAGGUGAUGAACAACAUUGUUCACUCAUCAAGGAUUGACUUGAUCUUGGCAAGCUUGUCCUUGUUGCCAUGACCAGCUUUCAUAAGAUCACCCACUAGAAACUCCAGCUUCUUCUUCUCCUCUAUCAGCCAGUCCCUCUCUUUCUUCAUCUCAUCCCUCUCCUUCAUUCUGUUCCUAAUGAUCUCCCCCUGAGACCUAAGAAUGCACUUCAUCUCCUUCAGCUCCUGAGCCAGCUUCUCCAUCUGCUUCAUCUUGCCAAAGUCAGCACUAUCCUUCUCCUUACUGAUAGCUAGCUUCUCCAUGUCCUUGUCCACAUCCAUCUGCUUCUGCUUGAACUCUUCAUCACUCAUGACCCUGUUGUUCUGAUCUGCCCAAUCAAACAUCUUGGUGACUUCCUCAACCAGCUGACUGUACUGAUCCCCAAGUGUAUCCAACUGCUUGUUCACCUUGUCCAACUCUUUCUUAUACUUAGCAUGGUCAAUCACUCUGCCACAAUUCUCCUCAUGAAACAUCUCCCAUAUCUUCUCCAAACAUCUUUGCAGAAUAGAAGGCCAUGGGGCAUCAACCCACUGAGCAACUCCACAGUCAAUACCAUCCUGCAUCAAGUAUUAGAAAAUAAAGAUGCUAACUUCAAAAAUAAAAUAGAUGAGAUAUCCAGUGAUUCAGUCAUACUUGCAGAUACAAUAGACAUUCAGGAAACUUCAAGUUCAAAUCAAUGUCCUAAACAUGUUUCAUUUACUCAAUUUACUGACACAAACUGAUGCUUGCAAAAUCACUGUUAAAAACAUGUUUCAUCAACUACAGACAGUUCAAAAUGACUGAAUUUACUACAGACUAACUACCACUAACACAAUUAACUGAAUUUACUGACAGCAACUAUAGACAGUCCAAAUUUACUACAUACUAACUACCAAAUUUACUGCAAACAGUGCAAAUUUACUGCAUACAAACUAACAUUUGAUUGUUGCAACUGUAGAUAGUCCAAAUUAACUGAAUUUACUACAGACUAACUACCAUUAACACAAUUAACUGAAUCUGCAGACUAACUACCACUGAAUUUACUGACCUGAGGAACAACACAUCCAUAGAACCUCCUCCCAGUGUCCCUUCCUUCAAAUGCAACAUAUUUCAUGCAUGGGGCCAAGUGCAGUCUACAUGUGAUGCUUGCAUCUACAACUCUACCACAGAAGGAUGCAUCUAUAGUGGUGCCAGGGUUCGCCUGCAUUGUAGCACACUAGUGAACCGCGGAAAAGAUAGGAACUGCUCCAAACAUGGUCUCAAAUCGAAGAACACUUGAACCCUAACCCUAACCCUAGGUGCAAAGCAGAUAUCUUACCCAGUGCUGCUCCAGAUCCAUGCCGAGCAGCUCCUCCUCAUCGCUGCUCUCCUCUCCAUCCUUCCACGACGGCAUCUUCUACGGCGGGGAGGGAACCGUGCCUCCGGCGGCGGCGAAGAACUCCGGCGGCGGCAACAGGGGACAGAGCAGAGGAGUGAGAGUGAGAGAGUGUGCGAGUGGAGUGGGGUGUGAGCAGCGGGGAGUGGGGGCGCUGUUUUGUACCGCGUGCCGUAACGGCCGUCAACCCACUCGCCGUCUGGCCUCGCCCACGUGGCACCUGACGGGUGGGCCAGCCUAGUCAGAAAUCGUGUUAACUGCGGCAAACCGGUCAUUUGUUUUUAUUGAGAAAAUUUACAAGUCAAGUGGUGGAUUUUUGGGACGUGCAACAAAUGUGGUGGCAAUUGGAUGCUUCAACUUCAAAUGUGGUGGUUUUUUGCAAUUCACUCGCUCAAAAACACACAAAAAAGAGAGAGCUUGUUAUUGAGAAAUUGUACGCAUGUAUUGCCUCAGUUCUAAGUCUUUUUAGAUAUUUCAAUAUAGACUACAUACAAAGCAAAAUGAGUAAAUCUACUAUGUUCUAAACUAUGUUUAUAUACAUUUUAGGAACGGAAAGACUAGAUUCCAUUCUCUGUGGACGUGAAAGCGUCAGUGUUACCAUUGAGAAAGAAGGCGCCAAAGCAUGAAGCACCGAAAGUUGACGUCCGGCGUUUGCCCGUUUCGUCGCGCCCUGCUGCGUAAACUCCGAGCGCCAGGCGUACCAGCGCAAGCCGGGUAUCAUGCCAUGCGUGGUAACGGACAGGCCAUGUUCCCGCUGUUGGCCGGGGCUCCACAUACGGGCAGGCACUCCCGUCGUGCAGAAAAAUAAGUUCGGCGCGUGGCACGGCACGGCUGCUGAACGUCAUAUGCCCACAGUGCCAUGCUACCGAUUGAUCAUCCCGGCCGCUGGUUCAUGUCUUCUGCUUUGCUUUCGGACGUGUAAACCACUCGUCGCCGUACGUAUCCAUCGGUGCAAAAAGAGAUGGCAAAAAAAGAGAAAGCGGCGCUUGCACGAGAUGAGAUGAUAAAACCAGGCCGAUGCUCCUGGCCGAGCCAAAGCUCUCAAUCGUCGCUGUCGUCCUUCGAGGCUUCUCGUGGAGUAAUUAACAGUAAGUCGUGAGCGCUGCAUCAUCGUUCUCGUUAAGAGCCUUGGGAUGAUUAGUCUAUCCGGCGGGAUCGUCGUGGUACCAUCGUGUACCAGCCGCGUGCGCGAGGCGAGAACGUGCCAUUGACCAGCACCAAGGAUGGAAAUGGCGAUGCUCCUCCGUGCGAGCCCGCCUCACAUGGCCCCUGACACCGCCGGACUCACGUGGCCGGUGGGACGAACCCGGCCGGCCUAUCGCCUCACUUCAUAGCUGGGCCGUGGGCGCACGUGAAGGUGCGGAUAGAAUAUUGGGCCCGUGUAGGGUACCUACGUAUACUGUCGAAUUCCUAGAUUCAAUGUUUCAAAAAAAAACCAUAAAAAAGUCCAAAUUUUCCUUGUCAUUUCCCUCCGAGAAAUAGGCAAGUACUUGUGAACCUUUGAAUCUCAACUUUCCAACUUUUUCAAAGAACUGCUACAAAAAAUACAUUUUAAAACAUGCACAUAUGAAUUCUAUAUUUGCAAUUGGCCAUUGCGAGGAACGGAGCUCGUGUGGCGGUACAAUGUCAGCUGACUAAAUGUGCAAACAGGCGAGCUCCUCUUUUUUUUUUUGAAAAGACCCAUAUACGUUAUAACACCUCACCAGAGGUAUAAAAGCAUCUCAAACAUAAUUUUAAAAAAUACAUCGAGGUCCAUGGACCAUCAGACGGCCACUACCGCUGCCAGGACGAGUCGCCUACGCACCGGUGUCGCCGCUCCCAUAGUGGAGCCGCCCUGAUCUGGUCGAUGACAACCGGGAUUUUUUUGUGCGCGUGCCCCUAAGGACCAGCGCCUUGGAGCCGCAAUCGUCACCACUGAACCAUUGAAUUGAUCCAAAGUGUCUGGCAUCCGGUGUCGUCAUCGCACAUGUACGACGAUAAACCUAACCUUGCCGCCCCAAGGAGAUGGCAGGAAUAUACGCCAUACCUCCAUCGACUCAAUCCCGACGAACGAAUUCGAGGAGGAUCGAAAUCCGGAAGACCAACUCGAAGAUCAAGCGUCGCCGUCUACCCAAGCGCCACCCAUGUGAGGACUGUAAAACCCUAACAUAAACUACUAGUCGGAACCGAGGCAUCGUGAUCCUUCCACGCCACCAAACAUCGGAGCGGCUGGCAAAGGGGGAGGUGAGUCCACGGACUGGCCGAUGGAGCUUGGAGGGGAGGAGAACUGUCUCGUAGCUGCUUAGGCUCGUUCUAACAUAUCAACAAGUUUUUCCAAUAAUCAUGUGAUUUUAAGCUUUUAUAUUAUUUAAUUGAAGUAAAGAGCGUAUCAGAGGGCACUCUAAGGUCGGGUCACCAAUUUGCACCCGACUAACCCCAACGCAAGUUAGAAAACUCUCUGCUAAUCUUAGUGCAAUAUAAUGUUUAUUUUAAGAAGAAUGCCCCGACUGUGAAAAAUAAUACAUAUAGAUGCCCAAUAUUUUUUUAUUAUAGCUAUUCUUCAAUAAAAUGUUGACGAUCUGGGCGGGGUUGAUGGAAUGAAGUAUGGACCACCUCUAAACCCUAACACGCAAGAGAAGGCAAUAAGCAUCAAAUGAAGCAACAUCGUGUUAUUUGCCACAGUCUAGGCAUCUCCAACUAACAAUUGCAUUCGUGUGUUAUAUUCUUUUACAUUGCAUUCUUCAGUGUGUAAUGUGUUGAUGUCGCUUGACUGUAUCAUACGAACCGCUUGUAGGGAAUCUAACUCAAUCAUCACCGGCAAAUUACUUAUCAUCAUGGCUUGCGUGAGGCCCUCCAUACUACAUGAAUGUACUAUUUUUUUUUUUUUUGCGGAGAAUGAAUGUACUAUAUGUUUCUAGUAGUAAGUAUGUGAUUAAUUAGGUUAACCUUAACCAAAAUACAUUAUCUUCACCCCAGCGAAAAACGCAUCGACAUAAAGUAAACACGGUAUCUUCACCCCAUUCCUCUCAUCAUACUACACGGAGCACAAAAGGUUAAAGCAAAGUAGGUUACCUUGGAAUUUUGUUCCUACUAUAGUUUUCACUUGUUCACGGGUACCUAGCCACGCUAAUGAUUCAGCCACGCGAUUAGGUUGAGAUCGUGCUUUAUCAACACGCCGGUGCAUCGCCCUUCCCAACGACAAAAACAAAUAUACUAAAAAUUCCUGGAAAAAGGCAGAAAAAAAAACUGCCAAGCAAACAAAACCGACGCCAACACUGGCCACGCCGCCCGAGGCCAAUCCACCUCGGGAUCAACGACCCUGCAGCAGGCCCCCGGGGGCCGCUCCCGCCUCGACCCGCCGGCCCAGCGGCCCGCCCCGAUGGCGGCCACGCGGUGGGCUGCGCGAAUCCAACGGCGACGGAGCGGUUAGCGGCGGGGCGGCCCACGUGGUGCGUACGUGGUUGCACGAGAGGGGGAGCGUGACGUGCGCGGCUUCCACGGAGGCGCAACGUGGGCGGGAUCCUGGGCCUCGGUUUUAGCUUUGGGGGCGGCCUCUAGUGGUGGUGCCAACGACGUGAGGCUCGCAAUGCUUUUCAACGGCAAAGCACUGAUUGCUAGUGCUGCGUGGACAAUGUGUGCAUGGCUCAGUGGGGUUGGUGGGGCCCACCAGGAGUGAUCCAUCCCUGGUGCAGCAUGGCAAGGUGGGUUUAGGGUCUAUGGGUGCUUUUUUAUUACCUUUUUUUUAAUGAAUACCAAUUUUUUUUAUUACCAAAUUUUUUGAUAAAGGGCUAUGGUGGACGGUAAAAGUUUGAAUAAUCUUGAUAUUGAAUGUUCGGUAUUAAGUUCAAUGGAGCAAACAUGUCGAAUGAGUACGACCAUUAGGGGCGCGAUGAUGCAAGGGGAGAUGGGCGGGGGAAUAAGCACCGAAGGAGGAAAACAGAUGAAGACGGGAGAUGAGAAGGGAAGGACGGGAAAGGGAGGAACAAAUAGCUCAUCAAACCGACCUUGAUGUGGAGGACUGGCGAUGACAUGUGGCGGCGAGCUUGGACGAGGCUCUGGCGCGGACACUAACUGACGCAUAAAGAAACAGAUGACCAGGAGUGCGCCGAUAAUUUGAUUUGUCUGGCGGUGGAAGGGAGGGGGCACCCUCUGAGGAGGUAGCACGACAUGAGAUAAUAAGACUGAAGAUAGGGGGAUGAUGAAAUUGACGAUGUGGAUCACAUGAGGAGGUAGCACGACAUUGAAGGGGGGGAGGGGGNNNNNNNNNNNNNNNNNNNNNNNNNNNNNNNNNNNNNNNNNNNNNNNNNNNNNNNNNNNNNNNNNNNNNNNNNNNNNNNNNNNNNNNNNNNNNNNNNNNNNNNNNNNNNNNNNNNNNNNNNNNNNNNNNNNNNNNNNNNNNNNNNNNNNNNNNNNNNNNNNNNNNNNNNNNNNNNNNNNNNNNNNNNNNNNNNNNNNNNNNNNNNNNNNNNNNNNNNNNNNNNNNNNNNNNNAACUACAAGAGGGGGUGACCCACGAGGAAGCAUGAGCUGGUAACACUCUAUCUCAUGUAAUGCACGCUACAUAGCCAAGUGAGGUACAUAGUCGAACGGUACACGCGUAUGUACUCCGACUAUUCUGUCGUGUUGCGAGCAUCAUGUAACGGUACCUCCCCUUCAUCGUGCCCCCGAUCGCGGCGGUCUUUGCAGAAUGAUUUUAUACAAAAACCAACACAGGGCAAAUCCUCAAUUAAAAACCCCGAAUGUGGAUCUUGGAAUUAAAGAAGCGCUUCAAUGCUUGCUAGCAAACCUGCCAUUUGCCACGAAGCAAAUUGCAAUCGAAAUCAAAACGCUCAUAAUAUCACCCCGAGACUCAUUCCAACUCACCAAAAACAAUCCAAUCAGCCCGACGUUGCCAUACACGAGCCAGCCGAGGGCGAUGAGCACAUGCUGCUGCGCUACUGCUGUCAUGCAAAUGUCGUCUUCUCCGCGGCCAUAAAUCGAAAUCGGGGGGCUGUUUCCUUUUCUCUCUCUCUCUCUCUCUCUCUCGCCGCCGUGAAAAACCCCGAUUUAACAGGCUUUUAAGGGAGUCCGGCCCAGCCAUGGCAGCAGGCAGGCGAGGGGCGGGGCCAGAGAAGAGUGGCAGCACUCAAAAAAAAAGAAGAGAAGAGUGGCUCUGGCUUUAUUUACUCCUAAAGAAUCGUUCAGCCGAGCUUGACCCCUCCCCUCUCUCUCCUCCACUCCGCUCCCCCUCCCUCCGCGAUUAAACCCUACUCUCUCUCUCCGCCUCGCGUCUUUUCUUUUCCGCCCCCACCCAGAGAAAAAAUAAUUCCGGGGGCGACGGCCGCCGGAAACCCGUAGAAUUCGUCCGGGGAGGAGGAGGAGGGAUUUCGUUUCGUUUUGGUCUGUUUGUUUGUUUGGAUUUGGAUAUGGAGGCGGCGGCCGAGUGCGCGGGCGGCGGCGGCGGCGGCCUAAGGGAGGUCAAGAAGGAGGCCGGCGCCGGCGACGUGUUCCUCGUCGACGACCUCCUCGACCUGCCCUGCGACGACGACGAGGAGGAGGACGACGCCGCGGCGGCGGGGUUCGCCGACGGGGCCGCGGACUGCAGCGCCGGCGAGGCCGGCGCCGUCGACGUCGGGAACGCGUCGGCCGACUCGUCCACGGUCACAGCCGUCGACAGCUGCAGCAACUCCCUCUCCGGCGGCCUCGCCGACGGCGACUUCUCCGGCGGCCUCUGCGAGCCGGUAAUCAUUAAUUCCUCUCCUUUUACCCUCCCGUCUCCAUUAUUAAUUCACGCGUUGUUCCUUCCUUCGCUGCACGGAUUUAUGUAUCAAAUUUUGGCGAACAAACGAAUUAUUCACGGUCAAUGCGUUCGUCUCCCUCCCCCCAUUAACACUCCCCNNNNNNNNNNNNNNNNNNNNNNNNNNNNNNNNNNNNNNNNNNNNNNNNNNNNNNNNNNNNNNNNNNNNNNNNNNNNNNNNNNNNNNNNNNNNNNNNNNNNNNNNNNNNNNNNNNNNNNNNNNNNNNNNNNNNNNNNNNNNNNNNNNNNNNNNNNNNNNNNNNNNNNNNNNNNNCCCCCGCCCCAUGAAUGAAGGCAGCUUUUGGAGUGACGUCUCCCGUAAAUAGUAACCGAUGAAACCCGCGGCCGGAAAUAGCAACCUCCUAAACGCUCCCCCCUUCUCCGGACACGGAAACGAAUGAUCGACCAAUUUAUUAUCAUUUCCGAGUUAAUUCCGCGGCGCCCGUUUCGUCGCCAUUGCUGAAAAUCGUGUGCUGUGUGUGUCUGUGGAUUUGCAGUACGACCAGUUGGCGGAGCUGGAAUGGCUGUCCAACUACAUGGGCGACGACAACUUCCCCACCGAGGACCUCCGCAAGCUGCAGCUCAUCUCCGGCAUCCCCUCGGCCUCGUCCCAGACGGCCCCGCGCGCGCCCGCCGCCGCGCCGGUGCAGCCCUGUGGCGGUGGUGGCGCCGUCGGUACGGCCUUGUGGCGCUCGGAGGCGCACGCCGGGCAGGUGUCCGUGCCGGGCAAGGCGCGCAGCAAGCGGUCCCGCGUCGCGCCCUGCAACUGGUCCUCCCGCCUGCUCGUGCUCCCGCCGGCGCCGGCCUCGCCGCCCUCCCCGGCGUCGGCCGUCAUCUCGCCGUCCGAGUCCGGGACGGCGUUCCCGCUCUUCCCGAACAAGAAGCCCGCCAAGUCGUCCAAGAAGAAGGAGGCGCCGGCCGCGCCCGCCAUGACCGCCGCCGAGGCCGCGGCCGCGGAGGGGCGGCGGUGCCUGCACUGCGAGACCGACAAGACGCCGCAGUGGAGGACGGGGCCGCUGGGCCCCAAGACGCUGUGCAACGCGUGCGGGGUGCGGUACAAGUCGGGGCGGCUGGUGCCGGAGUACCGGCCGGCGGCGAGCCCGACGUUUGUGCCGUCCAAGCACUCCAACUCGCACCGCAAGGUGGUGGAGCUGCGGCGCCAGAAGGACGCCCCGCCCCAGCAGCUGCUGCACCAGCCGCAGCAGCAGCAGCUGGGGCCGGGCCUGGGGUUCCACGUGCCGAGCCCGCUGCUGUUCGACGGGCCGGCGGCGCCGCACCUUGGCGGCGGCGCGGACGAGUUCCUCAUCCGCAACCGCAUAGGGCCCGACCACCGGCAGCUCAUCUAGCUUAGCUAGCCAGCCAGCGCCGCCCAGCUCGCCUAGGAGGAGGAUCGUUCCGUUAGCCCCAGCAGCAAUAAUUCAGCAAGAAGAAGAGCCAGCCAGCCCAGCCCAGCUAAAACUUUUUUUUCCUAGGAGUUGUUGUUUCUCCGGAUUUUAAUUUACCUUUUUCCAGAGACCUGUAUGCUUGCUUGCUUGCUACACUCUCCGUGUUUCUCAGUCAGCUCAGCUCUCGAGUUCCUUAGAAACUAAUCCUAGGGUGCAGUUCCUUUGUUUUCCUUCCUUCUCUCUCUUUUUUCAUAGAGUUUUUUCUUCAUUUUCUUGUAAUGCAGUCAGUGCAGGCAGUGGUUCAUAGCCUAGAUUCUAGAACAAGAGGAAACAACAGCAGCAGCAAACAGCAACGAGCAGCAGUGUUUUUCUUUGAAAGCAAUUCUGCAAAAAGUAACUAGUAGUGAGAUUGAGCAAAGGUCGCUUGCUGGUAGCUCGAGGCUCCAGGCUGGCAUGUGAUUUCCAAUCAUGUCUGUGUUUGGGCGAGCAGGAUGAUGAUGCCUCUGCCCCUGCGGUGUUGAAUCCAUGGAUGGAUCGACCUCGAUGGAUCAAACAAAACGAAUGGUAUGAUAAGGACGCACGCACGCACGCACGCUGGCGCGCACAAAGUGACACGACUGGGGUGUGUCCAACCGUACCUCAGACCCAGGCCGGGCAUGGCAUAGGAGGGGAGAGUGGAGGCGAGCGAAAGGCGCACGUGACGGUGCGAAUCUCGCACGCGGCCGCCCGCCGUAAAUUGUUCCUCGGAGCAGAUGCUUAACGAAUUUCUUUUUUCUUUUACAGCGUCGGCAUCAUCAUCAUCAUCGUCAACAGUCUCACGACUGGCCCUGUGUGUCGACCGGGCCAAUUGAAAGCCGAUACGUCAGCGGCUCCUAGCUCUAGAGUAAAUAUCUUUUCGGUGUCAGCUAAGCUAGCAGCGUUCUCAGUGACUGUGAGUGGGCCGUGUGGGCCGGGCGGGCCGCGUGGUGACUGCGAGAGAUCGGAUCCAACCACUUCGCCGUGGCAUGUAAAUUGUUUUUGGGGCGGCCCUGUUUGGAUGGAUUCGCUCUCCGGUGAGUGGCCGACUGCCGCUCUUGGUCGGCAGCGGCGUGGCGCCUCGUUCGUUCGUCCGUUCGUCCGGACCAGCUUUUUUCUUGGAUGGUCGCUGCGUUGCACGGAGCUGACCGCCGAAAGCCUUCGUUUCACGCCUUGUAAGGUUCGCGGCGCGAGGUAAUGGCUGUGGCCGUAUGGUGCCAUCUGCUUGGCCAAGUCUGACGCUAGCUACCGCUUGAGGUUGAACCAACAGACACGCGGGUACGGCCCCGGCCGGCCGGCCAACCCUGGAGGAUGCCGUCGCAAGCAAAGCCACCUCUGCUUUUGUUCAGCACACGGUAAAUUAAUUGUUAAGAGCAUCUACAAACGGAGCUCUGGGAUCAGCCUCAAACGUCCGCGUGGCAUGUCCGGUCACUGCUCGGACAGGAAAUUGUCACCCACCUGGACGUAGUAAACUCGGCUCAAACGGCCGGGCUGACUGCUCAUGACAAAAAUACGCAGAAAAAUCUCAGAUGAGAACUUGAUUUUUUUUAAACAAGUGGAAUUGAAAUUCUUAUAGAGAUGUAAGGAAAAAGAAAUUAGAAAGGAGACUGUAACACUAGAUACUAUCAAUGCCAAAGUUAAUUGAAGGAAGAGGAAAAACAGAAUUAUUUUCCUACAACAGGAAAAAUGAAUAAUUGAAGGAGAGGGCAAUCUCCUUAAAUACAUCACUAAUUUUUAUUUAAAAAAGUUAUUUGGCAAUGCUGUGGAGACAACUAUUUCUCUGAAUAUUCAAAAUGCUAAUGAAAUUUCUAGCUUAGAGGCUGAGAAAUUAACAUGGCCUUGUACUAUGGAUGGACAACAUUCUGUGGUCUACGAGAUGGAAAAAAACAAGAGCCCUGGACUUGUUGGUCUGUCAACGUACUUCUAUCGACAUUUUUGAGAUGUAGUUAAAUGACGUUUUGAAAACUUUUAGAUGAUUUCCAUAGAGGAGAUCUGGAUAUUAAUAGGCUAAACUGUGGGAUAAUUACUUUGGUGCCUAAAUCUAAAGAUGCAAACAGAUUCGGAAAUUCAUGCCAAUUUUUUUUACUUAAUGUUAGCUUCAAAAUUAUUACAAAAGUUCCGAUGCAUAAGCUUAGUGAAGUGGUCAAUCCUAUUAUUUCUCUUGACCAGACUGCCUUCAUAAAAGGAAGAUAUAUAAUGGAGGGAGUAGCGGUGCUACAUGAAACUUUAAACUCUAUCUGUCACAAAAAACAGAAUGCUCAUUCGUUUAAAGUGGAUUUUGAAAAAGAAUAUGACAAAACUAAAUGGCCUUUUUUCUAUCAAAUGCUAAAACAAAAAAAAAC